rnacentral:lncRNA from 1 species
ACAACAAAGGUCAUAAAGGAAUCUUCAGGACGAUUAGUCCCCAGUCUUGGAAUUAUUAAUGUCCUACCUCUUACGGUAGAAGGCUCCAUGGUUCAUUUGAACUUCUAUAUCUUUGAUACAUGGGACUUCGACCUAUUGAUAGGACAACCUUUUAGAAGACUCCUUUAUGAAGGUCAUACUGGAAAGCUACACAUUUCUUUUGGAAAAACCUUUAAAUUCCCAAUAAUAAUUUCACACUCCUUAAACAAUAAGGCCGAGUCAUAUCUUUUGCCUGAUCCUAUGGAGGAAGUAAAGGCGCAUCUCUAGAGCUUUUAGAUGAACCAGACUUAGAAGACGAAACUCCUUUCUUCACAGAAGAAGAAGACGAACCUUCUGAGCCUAAACCCUUAGAUGAGUUUGCAGAAACACCUAGACCCCCCAUAGAGCUUAAAACUUUACCACCCGGUCUUACCUAUGCUUUCCUAAACAAUAAUCCAGAGUUCCCUGUAAUCAUUAGCGAUAAACUCACUCAGGAUCAAACUCUGCGAUUAAUGACCAUUCUUGAGAAACAUCACUCAGUAUUCGGCUACUCACUUCAAGAUCUUACAGGAAUCAGUCCUAUGAUUUGUACCCAUCGUAUUCCAACAGAUCCUUCUGUUACACCCUCUCAAGAACCCCAACGUAGACUUAACAACACUAUGAGAGAGGUAGUUAAAAAGGAAGUUAUAAAGUUGCUGCAUGCAGGGAUUAUAUAUCCUGUGCCGCACAGUGAGUGGGUAAGCCCAGUACAAAUUGUGCCCAAAAAGGGAGGCAUGACUGUUAUUAUGAAUGAAAAUAACGAGCUAAUUCCACAACGCACCGUCACAGGAUGGCGGAUGUGCAUAGACUAUAGAAAACUAAACAAAGCCACGAGAAAGGAUCACUUUCCUUUACCUUUCAUAGAUGAGAUGUUAGAGCAGUUAGCAAACCAUUCAUUCUUUUGUUUCUUAGAUGGAUAUUCAGGGUAUCAUCAAAUCCCGAUCCAUCCCGAUGAUCAAAGCAAAACCACUUUUACAUGCCCGUAUGGAACUUAUGCUUAUCGUAGAAUGUCUUUUGGGUUAUGUAAUGCACCAGCUUCUUUUCAAAGAUGCAUGAUGUCUAUAUUUUUUGAUAUGAUUGAAGAGAUUAUGGAAGUUUUCAUGGAUGAUUUCUCUGUUUAUGGAAAAACUUUUGAUAGUUGUCUUGAAAACUUAGAUAAGGUUUUGCAAAGAUGUGAAGAAAAGCACUUAAUCCUUAAUUGGGAAAAAUGUCAUUUUAUGGUUAGGGAAGGAAUAGUGCUGGGACACCUAGUGUCUGAAAGAGGGAUUGAGGUAGACAAAGCUAAAAUUGAAGUAAUUGAACAACUACCUCCACCUGUGAACAUAAAAGGAAUUCGAAGCUUUCUUGGCCAUGCUGGUUUUUAUUGUAGAUUCAUAAAAGAUUUUUCAUUUAUUGCUAGACCACUUACUCUUUUGCUAGCCAAGGAUGCUCCUUUCGAAUUUGAUGAUGCAUGUUUAACAUCUUUUAAUUUAUUAAAGAAAGCACUCAUCUCUGCACCAAUCAUUCAACCCCCUGAUUGGUCGUUGCCUUUUGAAAUUAUGUGUGAUGCUAGUGAUUAUGCUGUGGGGGCCGUAUUAGGACAAACUAAAAAUAAAAAGCAUCAUGCAAUUGCUUAUGCCAGUAAAACUUUGACAGGAGCUCAACUUAACUAUGCAACCACUGAAAAAGAGCUUCUGGCUGUUGUCUUUGGCAUUGAUAAAUUUAGAUCUUAUUUAGUUGGAGCUAAAAUAAUUGUUUACACUGAUCAUGCUGCACUAAAAUAUUUGCUCACUAAAAAAGAUGCUAAACCUCGCCUGAUUAGAUGGAUCUUAUUACUCCAAGAAUUUGACUUAGAAAUAAAAGAUAAAAAGGGAGUAGAAAAUUCUGUUGCUGAUCACUUGUCUAGAAUGUAUUUUAAGAGUCCACACGAAACCCCCAUCAAUGAUUCACUCCGGGACGACAUGCUCUACGGGAUUAACAGGUCUGACCCCUGGUAUGCAGAUAUUGUUAAUUUUAUGGUUUCAGGGUAUGUACCACCAGGAGCAAACAAGAAGAAGCUUAUUCAAGAAAGUCGUCACAUAUAUGGGAUGAGCCAUACCUCUUCCGGGUAUGUUCUGAUGGCUUACUUAGGAGAUGUGUGACCACUGAGGAAGGAUGGAAGAUCAUCGACAGAUGUCAUUCAUCACCAUAUGGAGGUCACUAUGGAGCAUUCCGUACACAUUCAAAGAUCUGGCAGUGUGGAUUCUACUGGCCUACAAUGUAGGAAGACACAAAGCAAUAUAUCAGAAGAUGUGGGCCAUGUCAAAGGCACGGAAACAUAAAUACAAGGGAUGCAAUGCCACUCACCAACAACCUUCAGAUUGAGCUCUUUGAUGUCUGGGGAAUAGACUAUAUGGGUCCAUUUCCUCCAUCAAAGAAGUGCGAGUACAUCUUGGUGGCGGUUGACUAUGUCUCCAAAUGGGUAGAAGCAUUACCUUGCAAACAUGCCGACAAUGUCAGUUCAAAGAGGAUGUUCGAAGAAAUUAUAUUUCCAAAAUUUGGAGUCCCCAGAGUAGUGAUAAGUGAUGGAGGAACACACUUCAUCGACAAACGCUUCAAGCAAUAUCUAUCAAGACAUGGAAUCCGUCACAACGUCGCUACCCCCUACCAUCCUCAGACAAGUGGCCAAGCAGAGACUUCCAACAAAUAAAUCAAGAAUAUUCUUCAGAAGAUAGUAAAUGAAAUGGGAACGGCGUGGAAAGACAAGUUACCUGAUGCACUCUGGGCAUACCGGACAGCAUACAAGACCCCAAUUGGAAUGUCUCCAUACCAAUUGGUGUACGGGAAGACUUGCCAUCUACCUGUUGAACUAGAGUUCAAAGCACACUGGGCCAUAAAGAGAUGGAAUAUGGACCUAGAUGUUGCUGAAGAUUAUAGAAGAAUGCAACUAUCAGAAUUGGAAGAAUGGCGAGAGAAAGCAUAUCACAAUUCAAAGAUCUACAAAGAAAGAGUCAAGAGGUGGCAUGACAAGAGAAUCAAGAAGAAGGAGUUCACACCCGGAGAUAAGGUAUUACUUUUUAAUUCCAGGGUGAAGCUUUUCGGGCAUGGAAAACUCCGGAGAAAAUGGGAAGGACCAUUCAAGAUAAUUAAUUCAUCAUCCCACGGAGCUAUCACACUUCAAAAUGACGAAGGUACGUUAUUCAAGGUAAAUGGUCAACGUCUUAAAUUAUUUUUAGAGCCCAAUUUUGUAUCUAGAAACGCGCUCGAGAAAGUGGGCCCACAGAGGGGCCAGAGAGAGGGCGGGCGCCCAGCUCCUGUUCCCCCUCGAUCCCGACUUUCUCUGUUAUAGAAAAUGCACUUAUGGUAAUUCGAAUAAUCCCUCGGAUGGAAAGUUUUCCAUGCACGUCGACAAGAGGAACCCGAACAACCCAUAGAGGCACCCUUUUGACCCCUAUAUAAACAGACCCCUGACCUCAGUUUUCAAACACCAAACCACCAAGCCUCUUCUUCUCUCAAUUAGAGCUUGAUUAGCUCUCCUUCAAUAAGAGCUUGAUUAGUCCCUUGCUGAUCAAAUGGCCGAGAAGUACCACGAUGAUUGGGAAGUCGUCCCCUUCAACCUCAACAUGGAGCCUGUGGAAGACCCCGAUGCCCGUGCUCUCGUCCCGGCCAACACAGAGCGACAGCUAGAAGCCAUGCCAUUACGCCAACGCAGCUCCGCCCAAUCUUACCAUGCUCAACCAGUUCUCACCGCACCACCACAACCCCUACUCCUUAAAGGAUCAUCAUCCAAGACGAAGACCACUAUCAAGGUGCCAAUCGGCAUAAGGAUCCUUCCACCUAGACCCAAUGAGAGUGUCGUUGGAGUCAAGACCAACCGGAGCGGCGAGAUCAGCAGUAUUCGCUACACUACGGAGGAGGAAAGGCCUUACUUUGAAGGGAUUAGAGCAGCCAAAGUCCGUUUCAUCCCUCCAAAGGUAGCCCCGAAGCACUCUCUCAAUGCUUUUGAGACACCUCCCAAGCGUCGCAAGACUAUAAUGGAUAUUGAUGAGGAAGUUCGCAGGCUAGAUAGAGUUAUCAUAGACCUCCAGUCCUCGAUCAACUCCCUCACUAGGCAGCUCUCUAACCACAACACCAUUAUACUAGGCCUUAGGCAAGAUCUUGCCAGUGCCAACAAGAAGAUCAAGGAAUUAGAGCGCCGCUAAGUUAUCUAGAUUAGACCUUGAGGCAAUGCAUCUUAGUCAUUUAUCUUUAAAUUCGGUUUAGGUUUACUAUUAUCAGUUUGCUAUCAGUCUUUUGUAAUAAAUGCCUCAAGAUCAAUAAAGAGUAUUAUUAUUAUGUCUUGUGUGUCUCUACUUUAUUUUUGUGCAAGAAAGCAGAAAACAAGUAUGGGGGAGAUCCCUCGACAUGCCAAACACACUCCGACUACACCACUCCACGAUUCAGGUACACACUCUGCACACUUUAUUUUACACAUAUAUAUAUUUUGGAUUAUGCAGAUUAUUGUUUCUGACAUGAUAAAAUAAAAAGAUUAAAAUAUUUCUAAUCAUGAUUAAUCUCAAUCUGUGAUAUUUCCUGAAAACUUGCAAUUAUUAUAAAAUCAUUUUAAAACCCUGUGUUACUUAAGUCAAUAUGGAAUAUGUGAUGAUAGAGUAUGAGUUUCUUAUUCUUGAUAUCAUUGUUGCUUGGAGAAUUUAUUUCAAAAUAUUCAAAAUUCUAGCUACCAUCCUCAGUGUUUUAUAUGCCUGAUAAAACUGAAAAUAUUGAUUAUGAUUAUAAAAGCUAUCUACUCUGUAUUGAGUUUGUUCAAAAUGAGUUAGACCCUUGUUGAGAGAUUUAUCAUGCUCCUAAGAUCAAGCCAUUAUUUCAGAAAGAUUCACUCUUCCGAAGUAUUAUUGCAUUAGAGGCAUGGGCUAUGCAAAAAUAAAAAUAUUUCGAGGAAAUAAAAAGGAGCAAGUGCUCGACAACCUCGCAGAAAAAAUGGACAAGUGUCCGGCAGUAGAAUUAGGGGUACCUCGGUAUCCACUUAAAAAAAGAGAGAAAAGAGAAAAAAAUAAUAUCCCAUGGUCCCUCUAAUAAGCAAUAUACCAGCAAGAGUUGACAAAGAUUUUAAUUUCCAAAGUCUUUGAUCUAAGAGUAUGACAUUUCCCUCCUCGGAUCCCGUUUUGAUCAGACAAUAAAUGCAAAGUAAGUAUGCUUGAAAAUUUUUGCAAAAAUAAAACAGCCUCAGUGAGAUAUAUAUAAAAGAUAAUGAGUGAUCUGAGAGAACCUAUGAGGAUAAAAAGGUAUGCUAACUUUCUUUCAAAACAUACAAAAACUCCAAGUGACAGGAUUGAGAAGAAAGGAUCUUUACUCUUGACCAUAAACAUCCCUGACUAUGGUACACAGUGGAAUUUUAACACCCUGCAAUUAUAAAGAGAAUGUUUUAAAUGUUUUACCCCAGAUAUUGUUCUUAACCAUCCUUUUCUCGAGGACGAGUAAAAGCCUAAGUAUGGGGGUAUUUGUUGACGGUUCUUAAGUAUCAAUUUUAAUUAUCAAAUAAACAAGAGAAAGGACCAAUAUGCAACCAACACCUAGAAUUAGGGUUUGAUCUGACAGAAUUCCACGAGUUUUGUUGUUUAUCUGUUUCUGCAGGGGGUUAUCAGGAAAUAAGGAAGAAAGGCCCACAUGUCAGGAUUACAUAGAGAUAUCAACGCACCGCGCGAUUUUCCACCAUCUAGAAGACUCCAGAAGCCACGGGAAGAAGACGGAGGCCGAAAGGGGCCAGGCCCAGGGCGCCCGCCCUGAUGACCUGGGCGCCCGCCCCCCUCUGGAUGCCAAUCAGGACUCUCUUCGCUCGGGAUAUUCCACCGACCUAUUGGAUCAAGAAAAACAUAGUACCACCUCGCCUAUCGACCCAAAAACGCAUAGAAGGGGAGGACUAUAUAAGUUGACCCCCCUGGCCCCUGGAGAAGACAUGAAGAAAUUAUCAUAGAGACUGAGGGGUGCCCUCGAAGGAAAACCUCUUCUCUAAUUAAUAUUUCUUUUUAGGCUUAGCAACCAAUGUAAGGUAGAAAUAGAUCUUCUAGUUUCUACUAGAUUGAGAGAGAUAGAGUGGAGGUGUAGAUUGGAGGAAGCCCGGCCUGUCGGUGUCUACUCCAAGCUUGUACCUGCGGGAUCAAGUUCUCCUAACCCGAAGCUUGCUCCUAGGAUUCUUCAGUAAUUCGACUUCUAAAUUCUAGUAAGUUCUUGUUUUAUUGUUCUUGUGGUUUAUGAGUUUACUUUAAUCUCUUCGCGUAGAGUUUAGAGUAAUCAUUGCUGGCGUAAACGUGGUGUUUAGGCUGGGGUACUCAUAGAUAUUCCCUGACUAGCUGGACCGUGGUAGUAGUGAGGAACGUGACAAUUCCGAGCUACCUUUGUAGAUCACAUCUCGUUAGCAGGAAGGAUAGGGUUUAUAGGUGCGGGUCGAACAUCCUUUGUGUUGUCUAGAUUCCGUUAGCCUCCCUAUUAGAACAGUAGAUCAUCCUUACCAUGGUUACAAGGAGACUACGGUUGCAGUCUUCUCUAUUUAUCACUCACAUCGAAAGACAUUCUUUGUGCCUAAGGGUUAGUAGUAAUAGACCAGUUAGUCAGAUGCACUCUUUCUCCUAGUGGUAAAAAAAUAAAUACGAUACUCUGGAUAACCUCACGGGUGAAGUGCUCACCGAUAUCCGUGCGCUUGCGGAUCAAUUCCUUAUUGCGUUCCCAAAUAUCAACAAUAGCACAGAAUGUGGUACUAGGCAAAGCAUCAGGAUUCAGAAUAGAUGACAAUGGUGUACUGUGGUUUGGAAAAAGGAUAUGUGUUCCUGAAGUGAAGGCUAUUCGUGAUACGAUUCUGAGAGAGGCUCAUGAGUCAGCAUAUUCCAUUCAUCCUAGUAGCACUAAGAUGUAUCUAGAUCUGAGACAGAAGUACUGGUGGUAUGGUUUAAAGAGAGAUGUAGCUGAGUAUGUUGCUUUGUGUGAUACUUGCCAGCGAGUGAAAGCUGAACAUCAGAGGCCAGCUGGACUGUUGCAACCAAUGAAGAUUCCAGAAUGGAAGUGGGAAGAAGUGGGUAUGGAUUUUAUAGUGGGUUUACCACGUACGCAGAGAGGGUAUGACUCAAUAUGGGUGAUAGUAGAUCGAUUGACUAAGGUUGCUCAUUUCAUACCUGUCAAGACUUCAUAUAGUGGAGACCGGCUGGCAGAGUUAUACAUGGAAAGAAUUGUUUGUUUGCAUGGAGUACCUAAGAAGAUUGUGUUAGAUAGGGGUACUCAAUUCACAUCUCACUUUUGGAAGGCGGUGCAUGAUUCCUUGGGAACAAAGUUGAAUUUCAGUACAGCGUAUCAUCCACAGACAGAUGGACAGACUGAGAGGAUCAAUCAGAUAUUGGAGGAUAUGUUCAGAGCUUGUGCUUUGCAGUAUGGGGCUAGUUGGGACAAGAGUUUGCCAUAUGCAGAAUUCUCCUACAACAAUAGCUAUCAGCAAAGCCUUAAGAUGGCACCGUUCGAGGCCCUAUAUGGUCGGAAGUGCAGGACACCUUUGUUUUGGAAUCAGACAGGAGAAACUCAGGUGUUUGGGACAGAUGUGCUUAGACAUGCAGAACAACAAGUGCGGACCAUUCGGGAUAACUUGAGAGUUGCUCAGUCUCGUCAGAAAAGCUAUGCAGACACACGUAGGAGAGAGCUGGUUUUUCAAGCAGGUGAUUAUGUCUACCUGAAAGUGUCACCAAUGAGGAGUGUGAAAAGAUUUAAUAUGAAGGGAAAGCUAGCUCCAAGGUAUGUUGGUCCGUUUAAAGUAUUAUAACAGUGUGGAGAAGUAGCAUAUCAGUUAGAAUUGCCUGAAAGCUUAUCUGGUGUGCAUGAUGUGUUCCAUGUGUCACAACUUAAGAAGUGUUUGCGUGUACCUGAGGAGCAAAUACCAUUGGAAGAGCUUUCUGUUAAAGGUGAUCUCACUUAUGAAGAGUAUCCGGUCAGAAUAUUGGAGACAGCUGAGAGAGUCACCAGAAGUCGGGUCAUUAGGAUGUGCAAAGUGCAGUGGAAUCGGUAUUCGGAAGCAGAGGCAACUUAGGAAAGAGAGGAUGAUGUGAGAAAAUCAUACUCAUACUUCUUCGAGUAAGCACCUUUCAAUCUCGAGGACGAGAUUCUUUUAAGCGAGUAGAGUUUAUAACACCCAAAAUCUUGUUUCCAAGUUAUAGGAAUUAAAUUGAUUUAUUUAAGUACUUUUGUGAGCAUUUGAAUCUAGCAAAUAAAUAAUUUUGUGCAAAUUAAAAUUCAUCAUAAGUUUAGAAACAUGAAUUUGCAUUCAUGCAGGAGCAUAUUUUUAUUUGUGCUGUGAGAUUUUGGAUUGAAGUUAAUUGUGUUCAAAAUUCUAUUUGAAAAGGGCUUUGAAAAAAAAAUAAAAAAAGAGAAGAAAGGGGAAAGAACCCCGCAGCCAACCCCUCCCGGCCUGCUUGCCCCCGCACGCGGCCCAGCCCAACUCGCAGGCCAGCCAGCCCAGGCCGUGGCGCGUCCCCUUCUCCCCUCCCUCCUCUGGCUGAUGGAUGGGCCCGUUCUUCUCUCCCUGACGCGUGGGGCCCGCGGAUCAGCGCUCUAUUCUCCUUCCUUGCGUAACCGAGCAGGACACCGGCUGCGUCGGGAAAGAGAUCCGACCCGAUCCCGUCUUGGACGGGAUUUGCUAUCCCCGAGGCCCUAUAAAGCAUCCCGCGACGCCCCGCGUCGUUCUUUUGUGUCUAAAUUGCGAAACCGAGCCCUAGCCGCCGUCUUCCUCAGCUUGUAAAUCUCGCCGAGGUCGGGGACGAACUGCCGCACGCCGCGAGCCCCGCUCCUUGCCCUUCGGCCCCAACCGAGCACCUCAUUGAACUCGCGGUGAGCUCCUCUACCCCGUGGUGUUUUCCUUUCGCGAAACGGUGCUCGGAAUCGAGAAGCCCGUCGUCGCCGGCGAGGUUCUUUCGGCCGGCAAUGGAAGCCACCGCACCGGAGCAGGAGUCGGCCGGCCACUGGCCCCCUGGACGCGUCCAAACCGUCGGAUCAAUCUUGGAUGGCCAGGAUUAGAAGAUACCCCUUCGGGGGUAUUUUGUUAAAGAGACCCUCAGUUUUCUUUUAUUUGAACCCGCCGUCCAUUACGUAAUGUCCAAAGUACGCUUUCUCGGCUCAGAAGACGUAAUCGGCUGGCUGAGUUCAAAUGGCGCUUUCUGAAAAUUACAGUUUUCCAUUGGGAGUAUUUUGGCCAUAAAAUACUCAUUUUAACUCCGUUUUUGAAAAUUCAAAUUCCGUUAGAUUCAUAUUUACGAGCUCUACAUGUUAGAAGUAUUAGUUUACUGUUUUGAAACUUUUUAUUUCUGCAGUAGCAUUUAAUAAAUUAUUUCUCUAUAGGAAAUCUUGGAAAAUGCAUAACUCCUCCGUUUUAAUUCCGAUUUUCGUGAACUUUACGUUUGUGUGAUCGUAGCGCUGCGUAGAAUAUUUUAAUAAACUUUUAUCUUUGUUUUACCACUGUUUGGUGUAUUGUUCUAAUUAUAUCUUGUUUGCUUCGUGUAUGAUUGUCUACAUUGGAUUGCGUGUUGUUGAUUGACGAUUGGGAUUAGACGGUGAGCCGUACGUUGGUGCUCCAGAUCAAGCAUUUGAAGACCAGCAGGCUCAGGAGAGCUUUGAGCAAGGCAAGUCUAACUUGGGAUCGUCCUUGUUACCUAUUCGCUUAUAACUACACAUAUAUAUCAUAUGCAUGCUAUCACCUUGUCGACCUUAGCAAAAUCAUAGAUGAUUGUUACAUGUAUUCCUUGUUACCUACUUGAUAUGCAUUUGGUGUAGAUGUGCUAGUGCUUGAUAUAAUCCUUGAUCUUGUAAGAUAAUUAAUAGCUAUGCAAUGAAUGUUAAAAGAUGACAAAUAACAGUAUGAGAUCUUGUCUGUAAGUGAUCACCGGGACAACAGUGCAACCAUGAGGGCUAUAAUGGCUCUGGCUUUAGCUCAGUAUGAAGACCUUUUCUAGCUUGUUAGAGGUUACCCGAAAGGGCGGAGGGGCUGAACCGUUUUGGGUAUAGUGUGGCCUCUGUCUGUAUGAGUAUAGGCUGCGAGUCAUUGUGCCAUCGGAAGGGGGGCUCUAUAUCUGCGCGGAAAGGAAACCUUGCGGCCCUAACAUGUUAGACGAACUUUUGAAAGGCUUCAUAGUGAUCCCUGCCGACUUUCCUUGGAAGUGGGUUAAGAGAUUAGCUACCUCAGGUGAAUGGGUAAAUCAUGACUCAUGGGUAAAGAUGUACAACCUCUGCAGAGUGUAAAACUGGUAUACUAGCCGUGCUCACGGUUAUGAGCGGCCUUGAGGGUUCUUGCUGCGCCGACAAUGAGCUUAUUAAGUUGUUAUGUUCAUUUGAUUAUCGUUUAUGCUAUGAAUUAAUUAUGCUUACACUCGAUCAUGUGAUUAAUGAAUUAUUUCUACUACCUUGACAUUUGCUAUUUAAUUAUGAACUUGCUAUCCAAUAUUAAAAGCUAAUUACAGUCAAACCAGUGUCAGCUAUUUGAGCCUCAUGAACCCCUGGUUAUACUUGUUGAGUACGAUAUGUGCUCACUCUUGCAAUCUCCCAACACCUCAGGAUAUGAUAAUGAAGAUGACUGGAAUGAGGAUUAUCGUUAUGAGUACUAGGUUUGGAAUCAACCAGUCAACAGUGUCCCUAUGUGGAGCUUCCGUCGAGAGCGUGGUUUACUUUAUGCUAUCAUUUUUGUAUGAGACUAUGUGAUAUAUUAUAUUCCGCUAUGUAAUAGACACUGCAAUGGUACAUUUGAGAUUUGUCUACUUAUGUGUGCGACUGUUUCUGGAGCACAUAUGAGUCUUUUAUGCAGCCUAUUUUGUUCUUAAAAUAUGGGUGUGACAAUUGGUCCAGUAGUCUAAAAGUUAGGGCUCUUUUAAGUUGAUUUCCAGAACUAGGUGCUCUCUGUUUUUCUGGAAUAGAACCUGGAACUUUGUUUAGUUGACCUAUUUAACAUUUGAAUCUUGCUGUGAUGUCUAAAGAUGAAAUGUAAACAAUUUCAUAAGCUUUCCAGAAUGUCCUCAUUCAUGUUUGUUGGAUUUGUAUAGGUUUAGUUAUGAAUUGUUCCUUGAGCUGCUCUGCUAUUUGGUUGUUGCUGUUUAAUGGUUUAACUUGGUGAGUCUUGUUAGUUGAGUUUGUAAUCUUUUGUGAGCUUGUAAUGGGAGUUACUCCAUAAAUGAGUGUCCAGUGAAGUUCUAACCAUGUUUACCAAGCAUUCAUCACCAUCUAGUGUGGACACAUUUCUCACUCAUCGUGCAUGCAAUAGGUGCAUCGGAAGCGGCAGCCUCGUUCGAGCUCGACCGGGUGAACCACGAAGGCCCGGAGAUCAAUCCGGAGGUGGAGGUCCAGCCAGUCGGACAAGAGGAGCCCGAAGAGGAGGUCGAGUGCCCUAGUCACGAGCCAGCUUCGUUUGUGAAAGGCAAGCCCCGGUGCAUCUUAAGUCUCCCACUUUAAUUUCAAAAGCAUACUUGAUUAUGUUAUAUCUAUUGAUGCAUUACGUAUAGGAGUUGUGAUAAAGCCUUUGCUGCAUUGUACCUUUCCUUGUUCAGAUAUCUUACUAUUACCCGGUUGUAGAAUUAGGAUCGAGUAGCAGCUUAGUCAUGCUUUAAUCGGUAGAAGUCGGGUGAUAUCCCGUCACCUGCGCGAUAUAGGGCUGUUGUUGGAUCACGAUUGACUAUAUGUGCUAUCGUAGGAAAGAACCUGUUUAAAAUGACUUCAGCCGGGUGGAGUUUUGCAAGUUGGUAGUAACUCCGUCUGUGGCAGCUAAGGACCGAUCGUUGUACGUCCUCUUGUCAUGUUGAACGCAUGUCUGAUACUUAGUUGGCCAGAUUACUCAUUCCGACCGCGAAGCCUAGUAGUAUGACUCAGGCCGGAAGACCAGCAAGUAUAAAGUGCGCACUACCGGAGGAAGUGCGGUGUGCGGGGGGCCAUUGGCAUAAGACCAAAGGCAGGUGAGUUAAAAGUCCUGACCUCCCUGGCAGAGUGCCAGCCCUAGGAGUGCGGCGCUGAUUGGAGCCGCGAUUCCUGAGUCGUACCAAAGCUGGCCCGCUUGCUCUCCGACGGGGGAUGCUUGGGUGAGUGCUAGGAAUAACCCUCCAGCUGGAUAGGAAUCGUUUUGAAUCGCCGUCUCUCCCAGAUAGUGAGAACUUGACAGAGCAGCGGCAAACGUAGCAUUCACUAAGUACAAUGGUUCUUGAUAAUGAUGUUGAGGAUAGCAAGAUGGAACAUAUGAGGAAAUUGAUAUGGUUAUUAUUGUUUGUAAUAAUCAAGUGAAGCGCUUAGUCUAGGUGCUAAUCUAGUGGUAGGCUAAUGAUGAUUAAUAUGAUGCUUUUACAACGGUUACUAUCCAAUUUAAGCUUUUUGGCAAAUUGUCUGAGUCAAGCCAGCUACACUUAUACUCGGCCUUGCAUGAUCCUUGGUGUCUUUUAUGUUUGGUUAGACGGGUAAGUCUAGCUGAGUACAUCCUCGUACUUAGGGUUUAUUCCCACCUGUUGCAGAUGAUGUCUUUUACGAUGGCUUCUUCAAGGCCUGUCUCAUCCCACUGGGGAUGAGGACUAAACCGUUGGGCGCGGUUCUCUAACAACUUCGUACCCUGAUGCUUUUGGUGGAUGAGAUGAGACUCUGACAGUAACAAGAACUUCUGACAUGUGUGUGUAAACUAUUUUGCUUCCGCUACUUCAAAACUUGUGUUGUAAUAACUAAGUACUCCGAUGUGGUGUCGCUUCGUCUGCAAUAAAUGAACUAUGUAACAUUCACUGUAUUAUGUUGAACUAUUACGAUCUUGGUUUGUUGCAAAGUUGGUUUGAAGUCCUUCGUGAUUUCGGUUGACUACCGGGAUUAUAUGGGCUCAAGUCUGGAAACUUGAUUGCUAGAUCGAUCAUUUCUACACUUGAACUCUUAUAAUUUGGUCGGUUCUGUGACAAUCCAUUUGAUAGAGCUUGAUGUUGUGGGCACAAGCAUAGGCUAAUAAUAUUCUAAUUGCCUCCAAUCUUGCAACAGGUGCAUAUGUUUCUCCAAAGUCAAGACCUUCAACUUGAGUGUAGCCUUGUGCUACUAAUCUUGCUUUGUUUCUCACAACUACACCAUCUUGAUCUUGCUUGUUUCUAAAUACUUGGUACCAAUCACAUUGUAGUUCUUUGGCCUCUCAACAAGCUCCCACACUUGAUUUCUUGUGAAGUUGUUCAAUUCUUCAUGCAUGGCAUUUACCCAAUCAGAAUCCUUCAAUGCAUCUUCUAUUUUCUUUGGUUCCUCAAAUGAGACAAAUGAAUAGUGCUCACAAAAGGAUGCUAGCCUUGAUCUUGUUUGUACACCACUUUGAAUACCACCAAUGACUUGAUCCAAUGGAUGAUCUCUUGCUAUGCUUGUAGGUUGGAGUAUUGGGAGUUGAUUGCUUCCACUUGCUUGACUUUGAUUUUGAUCAUCAUCAUGAGAGCCACUAGUACUUACUUGAUUUGUAUCAAUUUGCACUUCUUGAUUGAUCAUGUGAAUGUCAUUAUCAUCAUCAACUUGCAUUGGCCUUAUGUCACCAACAUCCAUGUUUUUCAUUGCAUUUGCCAAUUGAUCUCCUCUCACGUCAUCAAGAUUUUGAACUUCAUUUUGAGAUCCCUCGGUAUCAUCAAACUCCACAUCAUGGACUUCUUCCAAUGUGCCAUUUGUCAAGUUCCAAACUCUAUAUGCUUUGCUUGUGGUGGAAUAACCAAGUAAGAACCCUUCAUCACAUUUCUUCUCAAAUUUGCUCAAUCUAGUGCCUUUCUUGAGAAUGUAGCAUUUGCAACCAAACACUCUAAAGUAUGGAAUGUUGGGUUUUCUUCCAUUCAAUAGCUCAUAUGUUGUCUUCCCAAGCUUCCCGUGGCAAUAGAGACGGUUGCUACAAUAGCAAGCCGUGUUCACUAAGCAUUGAUCUAGCCAUUGUAUUCACUAAGCAUUGAUCUAGCCAUGUCAAUCAAAGUUCUAUUCUUUCUUUCAACUACACCAUUGGAUUGAGGAGUGUAUGUUGGAGAGAAUUGAUGUCCAAUGCCGAGAUCAUCACAUAAUUCCUCAAUUCUUGUGUUCUUGAAUUCACUACCAUUGUCACUUCUAAUCUUCUUGAUAGUGGUUUCAAACUCAUUUUGCACCCUCUUGACAAAAGACUUGAAUAGAUCACAAACAUCACUCUUGUCAUAGAGGAAGAACACCCAAGUGUAUCUAGUGUAGUCAUCUACUAUCACAAAUCCAUAUUUGUUGCCACCAAUGCUAGUGUAUGUUGUUGGCCCAAAUAAAUCCAUGUGCAAUAGCUCAAAUGCCUUUGAUGUGCUCAUUUCACUUUUCUUAGAAUGUGCAUUUCCAACUUGCUUUCCGGCUUGACAAGCACUACAUGGUUUAUCCUUCUCAAAGGUGACAUCCUUCAAGCCUCUAACUAAGUCAUGCCUCAAUAGUUUGUUCAAUUGUUUCAUUCCAACAUGACCAAGCCUUCUAUACCACAACCAACCCAAACUUGAUUUGCUAAUUAGGCAAGAUGUCAACUGAGUGUCACUAUCAUUGACAUCAACCAAGUAUAAGCUACCAUGCCUAAAUCCUUUGAAUAUCAAGUUUGAUCCAUCAACACUAACAACCUCAACAUCAUCACUUCCAAAGAUGCACUUGAAACCAAGGUCACAAAGUUGUGCAACUGACAAGAGAUUGAAAUCAAGGCUCUCAACUAGCAACACAUUUGAUAUGCUCAUGUCAUUUGAGAUAGCAAUUUUACCAAGCCCCUUGACCUUGCCUUUCUUGUUGUUGCUAAAGGUGAUUGAAUCAAAGCCACCAUUUUGACUAAUAUCAAUUGAUUUGGACAUACAAGACUCCCCGGUCAUAUGUUGAGUGCGCCCACUAUCAAGCACCCAGUGCCUUCCUCUGGCUUUGUAAUUGACCUACAAGACAAGAUCAAUUCUUUUUAGGUACCCAAACUUGAUUGGGUCCUCCAAGGUUAGCAACUAAGCUCUUUGGUACCCAAAUGGCUUUCUUCUUUGAGCCCAACCAUGGUGCACCAAUGAACUUAGCAUGAACACCUUUUGUAUCCUUGGUAAGCACAUAGAAAGAAUUGAGCUUAAUUGAGGAUACAUGAGCUUUGGUUUUCUUGUUCAUGCAUUGUUGCUCUAGGUGACCAACUUGCUUGCAAGCUUUGCCAUACCGGCCAUUGUUCUUCACAAAACUAGUCUUGUGAGGAGCAAAGGCGGUCUUGCCUUUCUUGGGCUUAUAGCCCAAUCCCUCUUUAUAGAGAGAAGCUCUUUGGCUACCCAAGCACAUAAGCAAGCGGUCCUCACCACCAUAAGCCUUGGCUAAGGUGUGAUUGAGCUCUUUCACUUCCUUCUUGAGAAUUUCAUUCUCAACUUUUAGUGUGGUGUCAUAUGUGAAACCAUCACUACUAGAUGAGGAUGAUGUAGAUGUGCUACAUGAAGGGUUAGUAGAAGCAACAACAAUAGGCUUACUUAAGAUAUCACAUGUUAGGCCUAUAUUGCAAGUUUUAGCUUUCUCCAUUUUAGUUGGUUCACCUUUACACUUGUUAACUAGAGAGGAAUGAGCUUCUUCAAGCUUAGUGUGAGCCUUUUGAAGCUUCUUAUGGUCUUCCUUUAGACUCUCAUAAGAUGCUCUAAGAUCGUCAAGUUCUUGCUCAAGGGUUUUCUUAUCCUUGAGCAAGGCCUUGCACUCUUUUCUAGUUUCUUUAUAGUGACGAGUGCAAUCUUCUAGCAUAGUGAUUAGUUCAUCUUUAGUUGGUUCAUCAUCAUCACUAUCACUAUCACUAUCACUAUCAUGGUCACUCUCAUCAUCGGAUGAUACCUUAGUGGCCUUAGCCAUGAAGCAUGAUAGAGUGUCAAAGAUGGAGCUCUUUACUUGAAUUGCAAUGCUAGCAUGCGCCUUCUUCUUGGUGCCCUCAUCAUCACUUGAGUAGUCAUCACUAUCCUAAGUUGCAACAUGGGCAUCACCCUUCUUCUUGUUUGAGCCUUCCUUCUUUUCUUGCUUCUUCUUUUACUUCUUUCUUUCCUUCUUGAUAGCAUCUUCAUCAUCACUAUCAUAAGCACACUUGGCGAUGAGAUGAUCCUUGCUAUGGCAUCUAAAGCACCUCAUGGAAUGAUCAUUCUUCUUGGAGGAGCUCUUCUUCCUUCUUUCCUGAUAGCCCUUCUUCUUCAUAAACUUGCCAAAUCUUUUGACAAGAAGAGCCAUCUCCUCAUCUUCAUCACUUCACAAGAGCUUGCUUCUUCUUCACUUGAUGACUCUAUCUUGGCUUUGCCCUUGGAUGAGGAGGCCUUGAAUGCAACACUUUUCUUCUUCUCAUCAUCCUUCUUCUCACCAUCCUUCUUCUUCUUCUUGAUCAACUCAUCCUUCUCAUCAUCUUCUCUAUAAGCAUCAUCGGUCAUCACUUCUUGGAACAUUUGUUGGGGAGUUGAUUCACUAAGUGUUGUCUUGACUAGCACAGUGAUCAAAGUGUCAAAUCUCUUGGGCAAGCUUCUCAAGAACUUCAUAGAGAAUUGACUAUCCUUCACUUCUUCCCCAAGUGCCUAGAGCUCAUUCACAAUGACUUGCAACCGGUAAAACAUCUCCGGCACACUUUCAUCUUCUUGCAUAUUAAAGCUUGAGAACUUUUCUUGGAGGAUGUAUGCUUUGGCGGUCUUGGUUUCCUUGGUGCCCUCAAAUGUUUCUUCUAGCUUUGCCCAUGCAUCAUGAGCAACCUCAAUGUUCUUGAUUUGUUCAAAGGUCUUGUCAUCAAGAGCUUCAUGAAGAGCACUUAUUGCAAUGUCAUUGCAUUGAAGCUUCUUUUCUUCAACCGGUGUAGGUGCAUUCUCAUUUGCAACCACAAACUUUGUUUCGGUCACCUUCCAAACUUUUCUAUUGAUUGACUUGAGAUGGGCAGUCAUCUUGACCUUCCAAUAAGUAUAAUUUGUGCCAUCAAAGUAAGGUGCCUUCUUAGUGUUGUUGAUAUGCAAACUAAGAGCCAUUUCUUCACCGUAUGUUGUUAAACCUCAAAUAAAUGGUACCUCGGCUCCGAUACCACUUAAAAGGUCCAAAUGGCUAGAGGGGAGGUGAAUAGCCUAUUUAAAAUUUCUACAAACUUCACUAAGCAAGUGAGUUAGUAAAACAAAUGGUGAAGCAAUUCUAGCACUAGCUCAACUAAGCUAUGCAUGCCACGUAUACAAACUAGUACAAGGCUAAACACCAAAGCACAACAACAAGAGAAGGCUUGUUACACUUCUAAACAAGAAGACUAAACUAAACAAGCUAAACAACUAGCAAGGUAUACAAGUAAGUAAAGGAGUGGAGAGUGAUUUCUAUACCAACGUUGUAGAGUAGAGAUAUAUCCAAUCAAUCACUUACAAUCACAAGAGAAUCCUCGGCAAGAGAUGACACAAGAUUUUUACCGAGGUUCACUUACUUCCUGGCAAGCUAGUCCUCGUUGUGGCGAUACACCCACUUGAUGGAUCGCGAGCUAAUUGGCAAUACUAAGCCAAACCCUCAGCGGGUGCCGCACAUCCACUCACAAGAUGGGGAUCCUCCAAGCCACGAGCAAUCCACUAGAGUAACCAAUUUGUGAUCUCCCACGGGGAAGGCUCAAGAACCCCUCACAAAUCACUUGGUGAGGCUUGAAACAAUCUCCAAUCACGAGCUCGACACCACCGCUGCUCCAAGCCGUCUAGGGCGUCGAGAAACACCCAAGAGUAACUAGAAAUCCGUAGCAAACUCAAGAAACAAGUGCCACUAAAUGCAACUUUCAAAGCAAUGCACUUGAAUCUCAAUCAAUCUCGCUAGGAUUAGCAAUCAAGCAAGGAGAUGAGUGGAGGGAGUGUUCUCUAGCUCAAUGUAUGUCUCAAGUAUUCAAAUGUGCAAGAGUGAGCCUCCAAAAGCUGGCCACCUUCUAUUUAUAAGCCCCCUCGAAGAACUAGCCGUUGGCCACUUUCACUGGGCUGAAAACGGGGGCACCGGACGCUACCAAGUGAUCACCGGAUGCUCGACCCCCAGCGUCCGGUGCAGGGGUUGGCCACGUGUCCUCCUUGAAUCUCGUGAGUCAGUCUCUCACGGCUACCUGCGAAACACCGGACGCUCUGUAGGUCCACACCGGACGUGUCCGAUCCUCAACGGACUAAAACUUAGGGAGGUAAGCAAAUUCUUGGUGUCAGCCGACGCUGAGCACCGGACCGUCCGGUGCUCACUGGACUUAAACCCAGCAGAGAGGUUUGUAAAACCGCACGGACACCAGACUCAGAACAUCGGACGCUCCAACCUGCGUCCGGUUCCUGGCGUUCGGUGCCUAACCCUAGCUGAGGUAGGCAGCCUGUACACCAGACGCACAGACACAACGUUUGGUGCUUCUGGGCCAGCAUCCGGUGAGUGUUUUCUCAGCGAGAAACACUCCCGCGACUUCUCCAAAUUUUCCACUGGCGCAAUAGAAAAUAUACACUUAAUUUUCUCAAAGGCAUGUGUGUUAACACCAACAAGUGUCCACCACACCCCUCUCAACCCUAGGAACUCCUCCUCCUUUGUAAAGUGUGCUAACACCAAAAAGUGUCCACCACCAAAGUGCAUGUGUGUUAGCUUUUCCCACUGGCGCAAUAGAAAAUAUACACUUAAUUUUCUCAAAGGCAUGUGUGUUAACACCAACAAGUGUCCAUCACACCCCUCUCAACCCUAGGAACUCCUCCUCCUUUGUAAAGUGUGCUAACACCAACAAGUGUCCACCACCAAAGUGCAUGUGUGUUAGCUUUUCACAAAUAUUUUCAUCGAAGGAGUUAAGUUAGCACUUUACUAGAUCCUAAUGCAUAUGCUCAAUAUAUGGACCUAGUAGCACUUGAUUCGAGAGAUGACCGUGAUUUCCCCUCUUGAUAGUCGGCUAUCUAUCCUAAACCCGGUCAAUCACUUCUCUACUCAUCUUAGACCGGCAAAAGUAAAACCCUAUGUUUAUACCUUUGCCUUGAUAACUUUGCUCCUCGUCUAUCAUUAUGAUCUCCACAUCAUGCUUCGUCUCUUUGUAAUCAUGUGGCCACCUUUCCAUGCCACCAUGCACCUUCAUCACAUGUGUUUCUAUGCCUAACUCAAAUCACUUAAACACAAGGCAUUAGCAACUUGGUGUCAUUAAUUACCAAAACCAAACAUGGGCUUUCAAUUACAACUGGUACAUAUUGGCAUAGGCUUCCAAUUGUUAGGAAAGAAUUACUGAUAUGUGUUAGAAUAUAAUUAUAACAGCCCAAUCUGGGCUUACGACCCAUUGGCCUUGUACUCCUAGCCUGACUUGUAUUAGUACCACAUUGUAACUUGUAGAUGUACUGCAAGCCUUCCUGGCUAUAUAAUGAGGGUCAUCCCCCUGGUUAGGGUGUGCGGUGUUUCUCUACAUGGUAUCACGAGUUUAGGACCCCAAUCCUAGGUUUCCUUCCCUACUUCCGCCUCCUCUGCGCCCUAGGGCGUCACGACCGCACCAGGGCACCGCCUCUAGGUCGCGCGCCCCUCAGGCCGCCGACUCCCCACGCAAGUUCUAACAUAGUUGAUCAUUGUUAUGGAGCCAAUCAUCAUUUUCGUCUGGCUCAUUUGUUUUAUUCCCAUCUGCAAGUUCUAACAUAGUUGAUCAAGCAAAGAAGUAAGUAACUAUGCUAACACAUUAGUUGUAGUCACUGAACCAAUAAAUAUUUUUUUGGCAAAUAAGUCAACCUGAUAAUUCAUUGGCACCAACAUUGUUGGUUGUGUGCAUAUGUCGUUUGUCACUAUUUUCGUCCGUUCCAUUUGUCGUAUUAUCAUCUGCAAGUUUCAACAUGGUAUAACGAAAAAAUAGACUUUCUUUUGUUCUUUUAAAGUGACACACAUCAUGCAGAUCAUACCUAUUGAAUGAACAAACACAGUGUUACUGGAAUCAACACGACCCUAACUAUUCAUCUUAUGUCUCUCAUGGUGUUUUUUGUUUCUUUCAAUCCACUUUUCAUCGGACAUUGUUGCAUACCGUUCUCUAUCCCUCUGCCUCUUUUUCUCAUUAGGAUUGCCAUGUAGUGGAAUCAACCCCGUUCGUGCAUGAUUCCCUUCAGUAAUUUGUCAUGAGUUACAAACAUAUAAAAAUAUAAUAGUAGGUAUUUUUUAAAACUGUAUAUACCUCCGUCUGUUGUAUUUGUAAGAUCCCCCAAAGGUACCCGAUAACCAUAUGGGUGUGGUGUGUCCAUAACAAUACCUAUAAAUUUAAUGUUGAGCACAUGAGUGAUAUGAAGUUAAAUAGGUAGAUUUAUUGUUGAGAACAAUUGUUAUAGAUUUACAUUCUGUUAAAUAUGUAAAUUUAUUGACAAAAUACGAUGAAAUGUUGGUAUUAUUAUAGUUGAAAACAUAUAGAUUCACGUUGUGUCAUGGGUUUAAAAAUUACAGCACAAUGCAUCUGGUUCCUUAAUGCAAGACCUACAUACACAUAAAAUGCUUUGCUUAUGUCAACUGUUCUAUUGUAUUAAUCAUGUUCUGAAAUAGCGAAGACAUAUAGAUGUUCUAUUCUUUAACUAUAGUUGUAUAUAAUUUUUUCAGAUUGAAUUCGUGUACCCUUGCUAAUAUCACUACUAUAGGAUUCAUUAACCGCAACAAGCCCUUUUCCACCUCCGUGGCGGGCACAGUUUUCGCCCGCCACGGUUAUUCAACCGCACGCCAAAACUACGGACCACAGAAACGCCCGCUGUGGUAAACGAUUAACCGUAGCGGACAAUAUAAAAGGCCCGCUUCGGUUAAUCUUAUUAACCGCAGCGGGCUUCGUAACGUGCCCGCCACGGUUAAUUCAUUUACUGUAGCGGGCAGCUAAAGACGCCCACUGCGGUUAACUGACAUUAACCGCAGCAGACUUUUAAUGUUGACCGCUUCGGUUAACCGUUGGCACUAUAAAUAGCAGCCAGCCGACCCUCUUCUUAUUCCUCACGGCUGCUCUCUUCCAAAUCGUGGAGGGAGUGGUUUUGCCCUAAAAUUUGACCAAAUAAUUGAAUUGUGGUUUAGAACUUUGAUUUGGUGGAGUAGGACAUCAUAAGAGGUACAUAGGAGCUCCCUCCCCACUUUCUCCUCUUUCUCUCACUUUUGAGCCUCCUCUAUGUCUAUAUAUAGCUAGAUCUAGAUCUAGUUUCAUGGAGGAGAGAGGAAGUUGUGUUUUUUUGUCUAGAUUCUUAAUGGAUGCAUAUGAAACCUUCUUCGCAGGCACGAGAUGGAUAGAUCGGAAUGGAUGUACGGGAUGAAUCGGGUGCUUGACCCGCGGUACCUUGUUGAAGUGAGGAAGUUUAUUGCCACGGCGAAAGCUCACCAUGAGAGAUCGAAGUGGACGACAACCAUAUGUCCAUGUUCUCACUGCAAGAACCUGACAGCCUUCACGAAUGACGGUACAGUGCAGUCUCACUUGAUUCGAUUUGGUUUCAUGGAGGGUUACACAGUCUGGACUCAUCACGGUAAAAGAGUGGACCCCAGCGGCGAUGCAUCUGGUUUGAGCUCGGCGUCGACGACCAUGAACCAAGAACCUAGAGCGCCCAUCUCAUCUCCAACGACUGCAGGGCCAACCUGUGGCAACAAUGAUAGUGCUCGUGAUUACAUCACGGUGGAGGAUAUACUCGGGGAGAUGGCAGAUGGUGUUGCAGAUGGCGAGGCGGCUACCGUGCAGGAACCCGAGGAUAUCGAGGUAAUCGAGGGUUUAGUCAGCCACAUCGAUGAAGACGGCGUUGUGUAUGGCUCCCCGAAGUGGUUGGAAAAUUUCUGGGAGAUGAAGCAGGCUGCACUUGAUCCACUGUAUAAGGACGGCGGCAAUUGUCCAAAGGAGUGUACGGUGCUCCGGUUCAACCUCCACAUGUUGAUGAUGAAGGCCCGGCAUGGCUGGUCUGAUACUAGCUUCAAUGAGCUAUUAAAUUACCUUGCUACCACGUACCCGACGGGUAACAAGGUCCCCGCAAAUACCUACCGUGCGAAGAAGUUGAUUCGUCCAGUAGCGAUGAAACUUAGAAAGUUUGAUGCCUGCCCCAACCACUGCAUCCUGUAUCGAGGCAAGGAGUAUGAGAAUAUGACGAGCUGUCCGCACUGCGGUGCCAGUCGCUACAAGAGGAAUGCUGGAUGUCGUGUGGACGAAGACGACGAUGUGGCCUUGCGGGGUGGUCUGAAGAGGAAGAAGGGGGCCAAGAAUAACAGUGCCGCAGCCAAUCGCAUCUCGUCUCAGCAGGAUGAGGAAGAAGAGGGUUACAUGCGGAGGAAAAGUCCAGCACUAUCGUUGUGGUACCUGCCUGUGACCGACCGGUUGCGUGCACUAUUCGGGAACCCAGAGGAUGCCAAGCUCAUGUCCUGGCAUGCAUCAGCUGACCGCAAGAAGGAUGAUGGCAUGCUGCGGCACCCAUCCGACGGCCAACCCUGGAAAGAUUUUGACAAGGCAUACCCGGAAUUUGGUAAGGAGCCUAGGAACAUUCGGCUCACGCUGAGUACUGACGGGAUGAACCCUUUUCGUGAGCUUAGCAGCUCGCAUAGCACCUGGCCGGUCGUGCUCACCGUCUACAACCUACCUUCCCAUCUGUGUCAGAGUCGAAGGUAUCUUAUGUUGACCAUGUUUAUCUCAGGACCAAAGCAGCCUGGUAAUGAUAUCGAUGUCUUCCUAGAGCCGUUGAUGGAGGAAAUGCAGGAGUUAUUUGAUGUUGGGGUAGAGAUGAUUGAUGCAUCCCGCAAAGAGAAGUUCACCCUAAAAGCCAUCAUCAUUGUUAGCAUCACCGAUUACCCCGGUCUCUUCUCACUAUCAGGGCAGAUCAAAGGGAAGACCGGCUGCGUAGUGUGCACCGACGGGACCUGCUACACUUAUCUCUAGGGAUCUCACAAGAUGGUGUACAUGAGGCAUAGACGGUUCCUCGACAAGAAGCACAGGUACAGAAGAAGUGUUAUGAAUCAGUUCUUCGCUGAUCAGGAAGAGCCGCAGGGUGAAGCACCGGCGCAGACUAGUUGGGGGCCAAAGGUGUAUGAGAUGGUGAAGGAUAUGGAUCACAUAGAGUUUGGCAAGAAGAAGAAGAAGGUACUAGAAGAAGAGGGGACAAAACAAACAAGGAAGCGAAAGCGGGACACGAAGGAGGACGCCGCACCGCCUGUCCCUUUCAAGAAAAAAUCGAUUUUCUUCAAGUACCUGUCAUACUGGAAAACCCUGAAAACACCCCAUGCCAUUGACUGCAUGCACCUCGAGAAGAACGUCUUCGAUAGCUCCAUCGGUGUCCUAUUGGACAUCAAGAGCAAGACGAAGGAUGGCCUGAAGUCACGGUUGGAUCUUGUGAACCAGGGCAUCAGGAAGGACCUUCACCCGGGUCCAACUCAUUACGGCAAAGUGGAUCUACCAGGUGCGUCCUACAACCUAAGGCAUGACGAGAAGAUUGCUAUGCUCAAGUUGUUGAGGGGUCUCAAGGUGCCGACCGGUUUCUCUUCCAACAUCAAGAGUCUGGUGUCCAUGAAAGACCUCACACUAGCCGGCUACAACUCACAUGACUGUCACGUCAUGCUGACGGUGUUCCUUCCAAUGGUGAUUAGGGCUAUUGGUCCAGAAUACGUGAAGAUGGUGGUCACUCGGAUGUCAUACUUCUUUAACCGUAUCACCCAGAACGUCAUCGGUAAGGCUCACCUGCUUGCCCUGAAGGAGUUCAUUGCAGCGACCCUCUGCCAGCUCGAGAUGUGCUUUCCCCCGUCUUACUUUGAUAUUAUACCACAUCUGAUGAUGCACAUGGUUGAUCAGAUCGAGCAACUUGGCCCCGUGUACCUACACCAGAUGUGGACGUACGAGCGGUUCAUGUCCACCCUCAGCAGAUACGUCCAUAACCGUGCUUACCCAGAAGGCUCUAUGAUCGAGGCAUACACAAAUGAGGAGUCCGUGAACUGGUGCAUGAGGUACAUAAGAGAUGGGAGAGUGAUUGGGAUGCCUGUUCAUUAGCACGAGGGCAGAACCGCAGGGUUGGGGUGUACUGGACGCAAAGUACGCACCGAUAUACCAUACAAAGAUGUGGAACAAGCUCAUUACAGUAUCCUUCAUCAGUUAGUGAGCAUGGAGAAGUAUGUUGACACACAUAUAGAAGAGAUCCGCUCCACACAUGAUGGACAACACACAGAGGAAUGGGUCCAGAAAGAGCACAAGAGCACUUUCCUAUCCUGGCUUAAAGAGCAUCACGUACCCCUAGAAGGCUGCCCUGAUGAAGAUACAGACACCGUUAAGAAGCUUGUGCUAGGUCCGUCCACCCAAGUCACCACGUGGCAAGGGUAUGAUGUCAAAGGGUACCGGUUCCACACACAAAAAAAGGACAAGAAGAGCGCCGCACAGAACAGCGGUGUUCGAUAUGAGGGUGUCGACGAGGCCACAAACUCAAGGACGCAAUACUAUGGGCAGGUCGAAGAAAUAUGGGAACUUGACUAUGGCAAAGACGUUCGCGUAACCGUCUUUCGAUGCCACUGGGUUAACCCAAAAGCCGUUGUGGUGGACAACUAUGGGCUAACCACCGUGAACCUCAAAAGUACCAGCUACAAAGAUGAUCAGUGGGUACUUGCAUUCAAUGUCGCGCAAGUGGCCUACUAUAUCUAUCCAGAGGACACAAAGAGGCAUGUGGUCGUGUCAGGAAAGCAGCGGAUCGUUGGAGCUGAUGGGGUAUAGAGCCCAGAACAAUACAACAACUAUGAAGAUGUGGACAAUUACAUAGCACACAUCUAUAUGUAAUGAAGUAGUAGUAGUGGACAAUUAUUUCAUCUAUAUUGUAAUACCUCUUUGUAAGAGAAUUCUUAUAUUUCAACUAUUUAAGAUAGGUAAGUUUUGUAAUUCAGCUAUUUAUACAUGUCAAUUUAUUAAUAUCCCUGCAGAUAAUAACAAAUGUGAAAUUAUCAAAAAAAAUAAAAAGCUUUUGUUCAACGUUUAACCGCAGCGGGCUUCUUAACACGCCCGCUACGGUAAAUAUUUUUUUUUAUUAACCGAAGCGGGCUUCUUAACUUGCCCGCCGUGGUAAAUGUUUACCGCAGCGGGCGUCCUUAGUUGACCACUGCGGUUAAUAUUUAUCGCAGCGGGCGUGUUAAGAAGCCCGCUGCGGUUAUCCCCAGCCUAUAAAUGCACGGUCCCCUCCCCUAAAAUUAUCUAAGUCAUCUGCGCGGUUUCCUCACCCCGAAGGGCUGCCAAAAUUUUCGAACCGCCGCCGUCCACCGUCCGCCGGCGCCGCCGCCACCGCUUCCCCGCCCGACGCGGUUCUUCCUUCGCCCGCGCCCUAUGCGGGACCCCCCUCUCGCUCUCCGACGACUGCUGGUCGGCCGUCGCCGCCGCAAACCCUCGGCGGCGCCCUCUACGGGAUCUCCGAGUUCACCGCAGCGCACAGAGCAUCCCCGCCGCGACUCCCCGCCUGCCCCAUCGCCCCCCUACGGGCGACCGCGCUCCCCCGCCCAUGGUCUAGCGAAUCCCAGCGCACCGCCCAGUCGAGCGAGGAUUCGAUCGCAGCCGCCAUCGCGCUGCGCUGGUGCUGCUUGGUCGGUGUUGAGCGGAGCAGGAAUCGGACCGGACCCUAGUGGCUGGUAAGGAAACCCUAAUGUUGCUUGCUCGGAUUGAAAUUGAAUUCCUUGUUCCCUGCUUGCUCUUACAUUCCCUGCUUGCAAUUGGCUAUGUGUAUUAUCUUUGUGGCUUGUGAGAUACAGACUAUUUGUUUCUCUGCUGCUCACUGUAAUCAGUUACCCUGGUUCACAUUUGCUUAUCCAUGCAUAUCUUCCCCAUAGUAAUGUCAGGUCAAUGCUAUAAACUGUAACAGAACCGACCAAAUUAUAAGAGAUUAAGCCUAAUAGUGACCAUUUGCAUAGUCGAACCAUCACGCUUAAGCCCAUAUAAUCCCGGUAGUCCAUGAAAUCUUGAAGGAUUUCAAACCACACAUCGCAUACAGCCAAGAUCGUAAUAAGUUUAGCGGCCGCCAUCCAUAAGUACAUUCAGAUUUCAACAUUCAUGAAACACAUCGGAGUACUUAAGUUAUUACAAACCAAGUUCUUCAAGUAGCGGAAGCUUCAUAGUUCGAAAUUACAACACACACGAUAAGUCUGAUACUGUGCCAUAGUUUGGUCAUUCCCACAAAAGCAAAGGAAGAGACAGAGUGACCAUCGCCCUUGGUCUAGUCAUCACCCAUAGCUGGGUACAGACAGAGGAUGCAAUAACUAUAGUACAUGUGACCAUCUGCAAAACAACAUGGGAAUAGAACCCUGAGUACGAGAAGGUACUCAGCUAGACUUACCCGCCAUAAACUUAAAAUAAAGACUCAUCAAGGAUCAUGAAGGCUAUUUAGUGGGGUAGCUGACAACCAUUUUGCAAAGACCGCAAGGUUUUAUUACCCUAACCUACAUAAAUCUUUUCUUCUUUUAAUCUGCUCAAGUUGAAAGUAUCAUUACCUAUUAUCUAGGUUUGCUCCUGUGCUAUUACAAGCAAGUAUGAGACUAUGAUAGUACCUCAUCAUAGCAUUUCUUAAACCAUUCAUCAUUAUAACCCGAGUGUUCCAUAGUCCUUACUACGAGGACGAAGCUCAUGUCAAGUGCUCACUAUCCAGGAGCGAUGGCGAUUCGAAUCGAUUUCUAACUAGCUGGCGAGGUAUUCCCCACACAAACCACACUCACUGAUCAAGUGAGCUACAGAUCACCGUAUUACACUAUCCAGGACCAAUUCGCGGGUUCGGCAGGCACCGCCAGUACCCGAGGACCGUUCCGGCGACCGAGGUAUCCAAGGUAUACCAAGGUUGCGCGCCGCGCCCUCGUCGUUCUCCUCAACCACCACCAAUACAGCGCAUGGCGGCUCGAUUCCCGGCCCGGAUAGUGUUCAGGCUUCGCGGUCGGAACGACUUAUCCUUCCAGCUAAGUGUGGGGCAUGCGUUCAACAUGACAAGAGGGCCGUCAACGAUCGGUCCUUAAUCGACACAGGCAGGGGCACCAUGGUCAACCCACCAUAAGACCCUACCCGGUCUCCAAAUUCAUUCCACACUUGGUUAUGCUUUUCCUCGAGCAACCAAUGCUUAAACUAGCAGGUAUCCACCUAUGUCUCGCAGGUGACAGGGAAUCACCCGACUUCUACCGAACUAAGCAAGCUAAGCAUAGACUCCGUGCCUAUCUACAUAGGACAAGGUAGUUGAAUGAGUAGGAAAAACAAGGAGUACUCAUGCAGCAACGGUAUCAAGCAACUCCUAUCACUUAAUAUGCACUAUAGUAGAACAAGUAUAGCACUUUAUAUAAGUUAGCGAGAAUAGGGAGACUUAGAAUGCUCCGGGGCUUGCCUUUCUCAAACGUGCUGGGUCGGUGAUCCGGACACUCUUGCAAUUCCUCUCCGGGUUCCUGUGCUUCCGGAGGUUCCUGCUCCUGUAUCUCCUCGGGUUCCUCGGGUCCCACUUCGUUCUCCUGCGAGCCUGUAUGAUGCAUAUAUGCUCAUGAGUGGAGUGUGAGAUGCCCGAGUGGAUGCUUGUAAGAGAGAGUGUCAAAGGAGUCAUGUUAUGAUGCAUAGGUGAUGCACUUGGUCAUGCUUAUUACAAGGUAGUCAACAUCAUCCGGGAACAAUAACUAAAUUAAGCAUCUGUUGCAUUCUCUUCUACAGAUAUUUUUCAAAUGCAACCAGCAACCCCCAUGAUGCUUCAAAGAUACACCAAACCCAACUUAUUCCAUUCAACCUAUAUAUAUACACCCUUCAUAGUUUUCUUUAUUCAUUUCUAAGCCCAUUAAAAAUCAAAUGCAAUUCUGUUCAUCAAUAAAUUCCACAAAAAUUACAGGAGACUACCAGCUAAGCAUAAAGUCUACUGUAAAUUAUUCAUGAUUUUUGGAUACUUAUUUUGAGCCACAAAAAAAAAUUACAAGAUUAAUUAAUAAGGAAAGUAAAAUCACUCUACUGGGAUACAAGUGUUAAACAACAGAUUUCAUAUUUUUACAAUUUGCAUAAUAUCAUAAGAAACACCCACAAAAUUUUCCAGAUUUAUUGCAUGACCCAAUUAAUUAUUAAAAAUCAUAAACCACUGCCAUGCAAGCAUUUAAAUUACCAUAAAUUCAUUUAUACACCAAAUAAUAUGUACCCACUUUUUCCCAGUGAUCACACACACAUGCAAAGCCAACAAAUCAAGUUUCACAUUUUUCUGAGCCAUAUUUUAUUUACUAUGCAUUUUCCAAGUUUAACAAAAUCAUGGAUAAAAUAUAUUCACACAGAAAAGUUACUCCAACAUGACAUGCAAUUACAUCAAACUGUAGAUCUGGAAAUAUAGAGCACACCCAAAUUUAUUUCAUUCAAUUUGGAGCUGUAGAACUCAAGAUAUAGAUUUUACAAACUUUAAAUCAAUUUCUGGAAAACACUUUUUCAAGAAAACCGACGAAAAAUGCUACGCACACCCAGAUCUACAACCACCGGGGUACCCCUGCGACUGACAGUGGGUCCCCGACCCCACCAGUCAGCGAGACCGAGAGGGAGCUCACCUCCGACGAGCGGAUCUCGCCGGCGGUGAGGUCUCCGGCCAUGGGGUGAGCACCAACGUGCUCCCCGCAGCAAGACGCACCCAGCGGUACCCUUGGAUCGACCAGAGGACGGCCGGAACACCUCCGGCGAGCAUGCAUGGCGGCACGGCGGCGCUGCUCGCCGUGGCCAGGCUGCUCCGGCGCGGUAGAGCGUGCGCAAACGCCUCUCCGAGCUUCCUCACCUUCCUACCGACCUAGCGCAACAGAGAACGAGCGAAAAGAGGCAGGGAAACGCUAGAUCCGUCGCGGCGGAGUACUCCGGCGAGCUCGGGGUGACUCCGGCGAGCGAUUCACGGCGCUCGACGGACUCUCACCUCGGUAGAACGUUCGCACGAGCUCACCCUAGCGACGGCGAGUGCCCUGGUGCUCUCGGCGUCGAGCUUGAGGCUCUGGUGUGGCCGGCGACGAGCGGCGGAGCUCUCUCCGGCAAUGGCGCGCGGAGGAGCGGCUGCUGCUGCGCGGUGCGAGCGGAGGAGAAAGGAGAAGGAGGGCGCGGGGGAGACAGAAUGGAGGGAGUGGCCUGGGAGCCUGCGCCGGCGUCCCGACCAGGGGGGGUUGGAGGCCGGCCGCGGCGCGCCCAACGCCGGCGUACGGCCGCCACGUGGCCGGCGCCGGGUGGAGCAAGGCGGGCGCCGCGCGCGCGGGAGAGAGAGGAGGGGGAGCGGGCCGCGCUGCCCAGCUGGGCCAGAAGGGAGGCGGGUCGGCCCAGCAGCGCCUGCCCCCUUUCUCUUUUUUUUUGAAAUUCUUUUCUCAAAUUCUUUCUAAAUUCAUUUGGACCAAUUUAAAAUCAUUUUCACCUCUUUCUCCCAAAAACAAAGUUGUUCCAAAACAAAAACUCUACAGCUUUGCCUUAACAAGCAAGACCAAAUUCCAAACAGAAUUUGAAUUACAAGUUAAAACUCAGUUCUAGGUUUUAAAUAAAUUCUUUUUGGAUAUUUUUGUAUAAAUUCCAUUUCUCAAAUUCCAUAGCUCCAAAAAUUGCACAAAAAUGUUCUUAAUUCUUCUUACACAUAAACCAACCUAGUUUGACUAUUUCACAAUUUUUAAAGCAAGCAUCACAUUUUAACAUGUUUAAAACUCAUGAAAUGAUGCACAUAAAAUCAUACUUGAAGAGAAUGACAUGCUCAUGAUGCUUAUGAUUGAUGAGGAUGCUUUUGCAUUGCUUUGCCAAGGCUAAGUGCAUGCUUAACACCUAGGGUGUUACAGCCCUUCCCCCCUUAGGGAAAUCUCGUCCCGAGAUUUUGGGGUUACUAACCAUUUCUUAUGAAAUUUUGGAUAAACUGUUUUUAAGUAAUCCUCUGUUUUCCAAGUGGCAUCCCUAUCGUCAUGAUGACUCCACACCACUUUGUAUGUUCGAACAACUCUAUUUCGGGUUACUCGCUCCUUGGUAUCCACAAUCCCCACUGGCUGCUCUUUGUACUCUAGGUCUGCUUUUAUCUUGAUUCCUCGAGGUUCAAUUCUUUGCUCCGGUACUUUCAGACAUUUCCGCAGUUGAGACACAUGGAAGACUGGGAAGAUCGAGCUCAUCUCUUCAGGUAACUGAAUCUUGUAGGCCAGUGGGCCUUUCCUUUCUAGCACUGGGUAUGGUCCCACAUAUCGAGGUGCAAGCUUGCUUCGAACUCGGAAACGUUGAAUUUUCUUCAUUGGCGUAACCUUGAGAUACACAUAGUCGCCUACUUUGAACUCAAGCGGCCUUCUCCUCUUGUCAGCAUAACUCUUCUGUCGUGAUUGCGCUGCUUGCAUAUGUUGCUGUAUAAUCUGCACCUUUUUCUCGGCAUCAUUCACAAAGUCGAUACCAUAGUAUCUCCUUUCACCAGGUUCCACCCAGUUUAACGGAGUUCGACAUCUCCGCCCAUACAAAGCUUCGAACGGGGCCAUCUUGAUGCUCUCUUGAUAACUAUUAUUGUAUGAGAACUCAGCCAAAGGUAACCAUGAUUCCCACGAUCCCUUGGACGAUAGCACACAGGCCCUCAGCAUAUCUUCUAACACUUGGUUUAGCCUCUCUGUUUGGCCUGAAGUCUGGGGAUGAUACGCCAUGCUUCUUAUCAAACUGGUCCCCAAACUCUUAUGCAUGCGCUCCCAUAAGUGAGCAGUGAACUGCGGUCCUCUAUCCGAUAUGAUGGUUUUGGGGAUACCACGCAACUUGACGAUCUCAGCCAUAUAUAUAUCAGCAUACUCGGGAGGUCUGUAUGUGUUCUUGACUGGAAUGAAAUGAGCCGACUUGGUUAAUCGAUCUAUGAUUACCCAAAUCGAGUCAUUCCCCUUCCUGGUUGUCGGUAAGCCGGUGAUAAAGUCCAUACUGACCUCUUCCCAUUUCCACUCCGGAACUGAUAACGGUUGUAACAGACCUGCAGGUUUCAUAUGGAUGGCCUUAACUCUGCAACACGUGUCACAACGGGCCACAUAAGCGGCUAUUUCUUUCUUCAUCUUGGUCCACCAAAAGUGGGGCCUUAGAUCUUGAUACAUUUUGCUGCUGCCAGGAUGAAUAGAAAGCUUAGAGAGAUGGGCUUCAUCCAUGAUGCGAUUCUUCAACUCCCGAUCUUUCGGGACCACUAACCGCUGUUGAAACCACAGUACCCCCUUCUCAUCAACCCGAAACUGAGUCUUUGGGUCAUCUUUGAUCUUCUCUUUGAUGUGGAAAAUACCCUUGUCUGUUUUCUGACCUUCAAUGACUUGACUCUCGAGUGAACAACUGAGUUGUAUAUGACAUAAGACCUCAGGAUGCAUAAGAUUGAACCCAUCUUCAAACAACGGUUGAACCAUUUGAUAGUGCGGUUUGCGACUCAAGGCAUCUGCGACCACAUUAGCUUUGCCUGGAUGAUAGUGAACUUCCAAAUCAUAAUCCUUGAUUAGCUCUAACCACCGUCGUUGCCUCAUAUUCAGCUCGGACUGAGUGAAGAUGUACUUCAAACUCUUGUGAUCGGUGUAAAUGUGACACUUAUUUCCUAGCAGAUAAUGUCUCCAGAUCUUCAAAGCAUGUACCACUGCUGCUAACUCAAGGUCGUGCGUUGGAUAGUUGACUUCAUGCUUUCUCAACUGUCGAGAAGCAUAAGCUAUCACCCUGCCAUCUUGCAUCAACACACACCCCAGGCCACUCUUCGAUGCGUCACAAAACACAUCAAAAGGCUUCUCUAUAUUAGGUUGUGCCAGAACGGGAGCAGUGGUUAGCAACUUUCGCAAGGUGCGGAAGGCUAACUCACACCCUUCCAUCCAGACAAACUUACGGUCCUUUUGUAGCAAACUUGUCAUUGGCUUAGCAAUCUUGGAGAAGUCAGGUAUAAAACGACGAUAAUACCCGGCCAGACCAAGAAAACUUCUAACUUCCGAGACCGAAGUUGGUGCCUUCCAGUCCAUGACUUCCUGCACUUUUGAUGGAUCCACAGCAAUUCCUUCUUCAGACAGAAUGUGCCCUAGGAAAGGAACUUUCUUUAACCAGAACUCACACUUGCUGAACUUGGCAUAUAGCUGAUGCUCUCGUAACCGUGUCAGCACGAUUCUCAGAUGCUCGGCGUGAUCUUGCUCAUUUUCCGAAUACACCAGGAUAUCAUCGAUAAACACUACAACAAACUUAUCCAAUUCCGGCAUAAAGACUGAAUUCAUCAGAUACAUAAAGUAUGCAGGAGCAUUUGUCAACCCAAAGGACAUGACAAGAUACUCGUACAACCCAUACCUGGUGGAAAAAGCAGUCUUCGGGAUAUCUUGCGGACGAAUCUUGAUUUGGUGAUACCCAGAUCUCAAAUCUAUCUUAGAAAACACUCUUGCCUUGGAUAACUGAUCAAACAGGAUAUCAAUCCUUGGCAAGGGAUACUUAUUUUUGAUUGUCACUGCAUUGAGUGGACGAUAGUCCACGCACAUGCGCAACGACUGAUCCUUCUUUUUCACAAACAACGCUGGACAACCCCAUUCCGACGAGCUUGGCCGGAUGAACCCUUUUUCUAGUAACUCCUUCAGUUGCUUCUUCAGCUCUGCGAGUUCGUUUGGUGGCAUCCGGUACGGCCUUCUAGAUAUUGGUGCUGUACCUGGUAUCAACUCGAUUGCAAACUCUACCUCCCUAUCUGGGGGAAGUCCUGGUAACUCCUCGGGAAACACAUCAGGGAACUCACAGACUACUGGAAUCUGUGGUAAAGGGGCCACGUGCGUAGCACAGGAGAUGCUAGCAAAGUCAAGACGACGGGGCAGAGGUACUUGAAAAGAGUUACUGCCCUGUGGUUCUCUGAGAGAUAACAUCCUCUUUCCAGUAUCUAUGACAGCAUCCCAUUCUCUCAACCAGUUCAUGCCCAUGAUAACAUCCAAAACUAACCCAGGCAUGACCACUAGAUUUACCCGAAAAACUCGGCCACUUACAUCCAGGGUUGCCCCUCGGACCACUCUAUUGGUCAACACAUCUGCCCCUGCUGAGCUGAUGCGGUAGCCAUAGCCCAGAUCUGUAACUGGUUGAUUAUGCUUUUGUGCAAAUGCUUGGCUCAUGAAUGAAUGCGAUGAUCCAGAAUCAAACAAAACAACUGCAAGAUGUUGGUUGACAGAAAACAUACCAGCUGUUACCGGUUCUCCUUCCGGGAUUUCCUCAAUCGAGGUAUGAUGCACACGAGCUGGAUAGGUUGGCUACUGCCUUUUGGGGUAGGGACAUUCCUUAGCAAAGUGCCCCAUCUUGUGGCAGUUAUAGCACGGACCCUUGGGCGCAUUGUUGGCGGCAGGUGCUGCGGCUUGAAUUGCCUUUGGCUUGGCAGGAGCCAUCGCCACCUUGUACGGCUUCUGCUGGGUUGGAUGCCCGGUGUUCCUUCUCUGCGGUGGUCGGAACCUAGCACCCGGGGCAGGAGGACGAUACUGCUGUCGCCCUGCCACUGGUGCCCUGGACUGGGAUGAUCCUGCUUCAAAAGCCCUUUUACGUGACUUGGAUGCACUGUAGUUGUUGUUAUUGUUCUCUUGGGUCAGACAGUCACUGAUAUAGGCAUUGAAAGUAGCCCUGGCCCCUGUACCCAUGGUCUUCAGCAUCUUUGGAUUCAAGCCUCUCUGGAAACUAGCAAUCUUCUUAGCCUCCGUGUUCACAAACUCAGGGGCAUAGCGAGCGAGAUUGUUGAAAGCGUGUAGAUACUCCUUCACAGACUUCGUCCCUUGGGACAGCCUCAUGAACUCCCCAACCUUCAUUUCAACCACACCAGGAGGAAUGUAAUUUCCCCGGAAAGUGGUGGUGAAGCGGUUCCAGGUGAUUGGUGUCCCCUCUGGGUAGGUGGUACGGUGAUGGGACCACCAAAUCCCAGCAGGUCCUUGCAACUGAUGUGCCGCAUACUCAGCCUUGAGUUCUUCUGUCAUUCGGAGAAGACGAAACUUCUGCUCCAUGGUGUUGAUCCACUCAUCUGCUUCGAGCGGUUCCAAGGCCUCCUUAAAGAUUGGUGGCUUGGUAUCCAUGAAGUCCUUGAAUGAACUGUACUGGUUGACCUCCCGGCCACCCUGAUUAUCUCCACGACGGGUGUUGUCAGCUAUGUUGCGCAAAGCUUCUUCCAUGUUGCGCUGCAUCUGUUCCAUGUUGCGUUGGCUCCCCAGAAGCUGCGCGAAAAACACAUCCGCAGUGUACGGGGGAGGUGGUGGUGGUGGUGUUGGUGCUCGGUCCUCAUUCCGUUGAGCCCCACCUCCGGAUGUACCUGCUCCAAGACCCGGAUUGUUGUUACCCCCGCCACGUGUUUGCACCAUCUGCAUACGCCAAUGAUAAGCAAUCGUUAGGAGUUGCUAUCAACCGGUAGAAAAUGUGUAAAAUCGUGCCAUACUGAAUUUACUGAGGGAAUAAAUUCACACAAUAAACAAAGGCACAACAACUCAUCAUCCACGCACAACAUCACUAACAGAUUACUUAACAUUCACGCAACAAGGUUCGCGUACAUCCAAUUUGCCAGCAUACAUACAAUGGACUUUCAACAUAACUCGUAAGGUCUUACAUAGCUCAGAUCCAAAGUACAUGACAUGCCAUGCAACAUACAACACAAAAGGAGAAGGACUAGCUCUAGAGCCCUAGCAUCUAGUCGCUAUGAUCACUGUCCAUGCCAGAGCCAUCCUCAUCCUCGUCACCACUAGCAACUGCUCCUAUCUCGGGAUCCGCGUCCAUCUCGUCCUCAGAGUCUAGCUCCGCUGGGCAGGUGGUGAGGGUGGAGCUGGUUAUGCAGCUGGUGGAUCUCCUCAUGCAAGUUCUCAUUGUACUCCUCGGCAUUAGCUAGCUGCUGCUCUAGCUCCAGCUGUCGGGCCCUCAAAGUGUCCUCCUCGUGCCAGGCUUCAUUCCUCUGUCCAAGCACAUGGACUAGCAUGCGCUCGCAGUUCCUGUGAGCAGUGGUCACCCUGUCCUUCUGCUCCCGCACUGCAAGCAGGUCCUGACUCAGCUCACUGUUCUUUUGGACUGCCUGGUCUCUCUCUCUGGUCACACGAGCCAACUCUGCCUGUAGCCUCUCAACCUCAGAGUCAAACUCACGCUGCAACUGACGCUUCUCAUCCUGGACGGUGAGAAGAGACCCGGACAAGCGACCCAAACAACGCUCCAGGCCUCCAUAGGUCUUCAUCAACGCGUACAUGGCACUCAUAGCUGCACUGUCAGUGUGCUGGUCCUCAUCCGCACUCCUCUCUAGAGCAUUCACCUCGGACUGAUCCCACACCGAAGUGUAAGGGUCACCCCGGGGAAACACCCCAGCGAAGGCGUGGGCCAGCUCCUAUGGAAACCUCUCCAUGAGGUCCCUCAAAACUGCGAAAGCUGCCCUGCUGGCACCGUGGAAAGGCGUGACACCUCGGGACUCGUACACCCAACCGCCCCAAGCAGGGUCUCCUCCACUGGUAGGGACAACUGCCUCGAUCCCCACCAGGGUCUCGUCACCAAGCGGCUCCUUAUCCCAAUAGUAGCGAGGCUCCCUUCCUUCGGGAUACCCCAUCGAACUGAGCACCCUCCAAAGCAAGGUGGGCAUCCCAAACUUCUCUAGGAACUUGCUCUUAUGUCGCGAGCUCCUAGCUGCCAACGGACGGCGAGGGGCCCGCCCACUAGUGGACUUGCGAGCGGUGAGCCUAGUGCGUGCCAUCUGCUGCAAAUGGAAUACCGUGGGUAAGAGCGAGGAUUACCUUUAUUUAUUUCAUUUAAAAUUGGGACAGAUUAAAUUAAGGGGGAAAGUAAGCAAUGAUAUGAAAUGCACAUGAUGCAUGUACGAACUUACGAUCUCACAAACUUAGAAAACAAAGGUUAACACUAAGCGGUAUACGCGGUGGCAUACAACGUUCGCUCAUAACGUAACUAGCGUUCUAAGCGAGAACGUGGUUAGGGUACCUGCAGAAAACUCAUUUCAGCCCACCCACAGUAUGAUCGUGCAGAACAAAAUUUAAAACUAUACACUUCACAUACACAGACACCCGUCCAUGCAUGUGACGUGUCACUACCCACAUCAUCGCCCUAAUGACGGCAUCGCCUCUCAGGACGGAAUUCCCAGCAUGCGGUACUGUUCCCAAGACACACCAACAUGUGUGCAUGACACAGCACCUGACAACACUUCCCUAGACCGGCAGUGUAUCCGAUCAUGCUCUCACAACUCCCACUUACCAUGGCGUAGAGGAAGAAUUGAUCCAUACAUUACCACUCAAAUGAAUGGCACUCAUACUAUUGCACGCCGUAUGAGCGACGAAAUAAAAAUAUGAUGCAUUAACCCCCAAGUCAGUACUUAGCUAGCCACCUUAGAGUCCUUAACUGGGCAUAAAGGAUAUGACCAUGGCACACUAAAUAAUUUUCCCAAAACUUAGUUUAACACCUUGAUCAUUAUUAAUUAAUUAAUAAAAUCUUUUACUAAACCGGUUUAGACUUUUGUUUAAAACGUACUUAUGAACAGUAACUCGCUAAACCUUGCUCCGAUGCCAGCUGUAACAGAACCGACCAAAUUAUAAGAGAUUAAGCCUAAUAGUGACCAUUUGCAUAGUCGAACCAUCACGCUUAAGCCCAUAUAAUCCCGGUAGUCCGUGAAAUCUCGAAGGAUUUCAAACCACACAUCGCAUACAGCCAAGAUCGUAAUAAGUUUAGCGGCCACCAUCCAUAAGUACAUUCAGAUUUCAACAUUCAUGAAACACAUCGGAGUACUUAAGUUAUUACAAACCAAGUUCUUCAUGUAGCGGAAGCUUCAUAGUUCGAAAUUACAACACACACGAUAAGUCUGAUACCGUGCCAUAGUUUGGUCAUUCCCACAAAAGCAAAGGAAGAGACAGAGUGACCAUCGCCCUUGGUCUAGUCAUCACCCAUAGCUGGGUACAGACAGAGGAUGCAAUAACCAUAGUACAUGUGACCACCUGCAAACAAACAUGGGAAUAGAACCCUGAGUACGAGAAGGUACUCAGCUAGACUUACCCGCCAUAAACUUAAAAUAAAGACUCAUCAAGGAUCAUGAAGGCUAUUUAGUGGGGUAGCUGACAACCAUUUUGCAAAGACCGCAAGGUUUUAUUACCCUAACCUACAUAAAUCUAAAUCUUUUCUUCUUUUAAUCUGCUCAAGUUGAAAGUAUCAUUACCUAUUAUCUAGGUUUGCUCCUGUGCUAUUACAAGCAAGUAUGAGACUAUGAUAGUACCUCAUCAUAGCAUUUCUUAAACCAUUCAUCAUUAUAACCCGAGUGUUCCAUAGUCCUUACUACGAGGACGAAGCUCAUGUCAAGUGCUCACUAUCCAGGAGCGAUGGCGAUUCGAAUCGAUUUCUAACCAGCUGGUGAGGUAUUCCCCACACAAACCACACUCACUGAUCAAGUGAGCUACAGAUCACCGUAUUACACUAUCCAGGACCAAUUCGCGGGUUCGGCAGGCACCGCCAGUACCCGAGGACCGUUCCGGCGACCGAGGUAUCCAAGGUAUACCAAGGUUGCACGCCGCGCCCUCGUCGUUCUCCUCAACCACCACCAAUACAGCGCAUGGCGGCUCGAUUCCCGGCCCGGAUAGUGUUCAGGCUUCGCGGCCGGAACGACUUAUCCUUCCAGCUAAGUGUGGGGCAUGCGUUCAACAUGACAAGAGGGCCGUCAACGAUCGGUCCUUAAUCGACACAGGCAGGGGCACCAUGGUCCACCCACCAUAAGACCCUGCCCGGUCUCCAAAUUCAUUCCACACUUGGUUAUGCUUUUCCCCGAGCAACCAAUGCUUAAACAAGCAGGUAUCCACCUAUGUCUCGCAGGUGACAGGGAAUCACCCGACUUCUACCGAACUAAGCAAGCUAAGCAUAGACUCCGUGCCUAUCUACAUAGGACAAGGUAGUUGAAUGAGUAGGAAUAACAAGGAGUACUCAUGCAGCAACGGUAUCAGGCAACUCCUAUCACUUAAUAUGCACUAUAGUAGAACAAGUAUAGCACUUUAUAUAAGUUAGCGAGAAUAGGGAGACUUAGAAUGCUCCGGGGCUUGCCUUUCUCAAACGUGCUGGGUCGGUGAUCCGGACACUCUUGCAAUUCCUCUCCGGGUUCCUGUGCUUCCGGAGGUUCCUGCUCCUGUAUCUCCUCGGGUUCCUCGGGUCCCACUUCGUUCUCCUGCGAGCCUAUAUGAUGCAUAUAUGCUCAUGAGUGGAGUGUGAGAUGCCCGAGUGGAUGCUUGUAAGAGAGAGUGUCAAAGGAGUCAUGUUAUGAUGCAUAGGUGAUGCACUUGGUCAUGCUUAUUACAAGGUAGUCAACAUCAUCCGGGAACAAUAACUAAAUUAAGCAUCUGUUGCAUUCUCUUCUACAGAUAUUUUUCAAAUGCAACCAGCAACCCCCAUGAUGCUUCAAAGAUACACCAAACCCAACUUAUUCCAUUCAACCUAUAUAUAUACACCCUUCAUAGUUUUCUUUAUUCAUUUCUAAGCCCAUUAAAAAUCAAAUGCAAUUCUGUUCAUCAAUAAAUUCCACAAAAAUUACAGGAGACUACCAGCUAAGCAUAAAGUCUACUGUAAAUUAUUCAUGAUUUUUGGAUACUUAUUUUGAGCCACAAAAAAAAUUACAAGAUUAAUUAAUAAGGCAAGUAAAAUCACUCUACUGGGAUACAAGUGUUAAACAACAGAUUUCAUAUUUUUACAAUUUGCAUAAUAUCAUAAGAAACACCCACAAAAUUUUCCAGAUUUAUUGCAUGACCCAAUUAAUUAUUAAAAAUCAUAAACCACUGCCAUGCAAGCAUUUAAAUUACCAUAAAUUCAUUUAUACACCAAAUAAUAUGUACCCACUUUUUCCCAGUGAGCAAACACACAUGCAAAGCCAACAAAUCAAGUUUCACAUUUUUUCUGAGCCAUAUUUUAUUUACUAUGCAUUUUCCAAGUUUAACAAAAUCAUGGAUAAAAUAUAUUCACACAGAAAAAGUUACUCCAACAUGACAUGCAAUUACAUCAAACUGUAGAUCUGGAAAUAUAGAGCACACCCAAAUUUAUUUCAUUCAAUUUGGAGCUGUAGAACUCAAGAUAUAGAUUUUACAAACUUUAAAUCAAUUUCUGGAAAACACUUUUUCAAGAAAACCGACGAAAAAUGCUACGCACACCCAGAUCUACAACCACCGGGGUACCCCUGCGACUGACAGUGGGUCCCCGACCCCACCAGUCAGCGAGACCGAGAGGGAGCUCACCUCCGACGAGCGGAUCUCGCCGGCGGUGAGGUCUCCGGCCAUGGGGUGAGCACCAACGUGCUCCCCGCAGCAAGACGCACCCAGCGGUACCCUUGGAUCGACCAGAGGACGGCCGGAACACCUCCGGCGAGCAUGCAUGGCGGCACGGCGGCGCUGCUCGCCGUGGCCAGGCUGCUCCGGCGCGGUAGAGCGUGCGCAAACGCCUCUCCGAGCUUCCUCACCUUUCUACCGACCUAGCGCAACAGAGAACGAGCGAAAAGAGGUAGGGAAACGCUAGAUCCGUCGCGGCGGAGUACUCCGGCGAGCUCGGGGUGACUCCGGCGAGCGAUUCACGGUGCUCGACGGACUCUCACCUCGGUAGAACGUUCGCACGAGCUUACCCUAGCGACGGCGAGUGCCCUGGUGCUCUCGGCGUCGAGCUUGAGGCUCUGGUGUGGCCGGCGACGAGCGGCGGAGCUCUCUCCGGCAAUGGCGCGCGGAGGAGCGGCUGCUGCUGCGCGGUGCGAGUGGAGGAGGAAGGAGAAGGAGGGCGCGGGGGAGACAGAAUGGAGGGAGUGGCCUGGGAGCCUGCGCCGGCGUCCCGACCAGGGGGGUUGGAGGCCGGCCGCGGCGCGCCCAACGCCGGCGUACGGCCGCCACGUGGCCGGCGCCGGGUGGAGCAAGGCGGGCGCCGCGCGCGCGGGAGAGAGAGGAGGGGGAGCGGGCCGCGCUGCCCAGCUGGGCCAGAAGGGAGGCGGGUCGGCCCAGCAGCGCCUGCCGCCUUUCUCUUUUUUUUUGAAAUUCUUUUCUCAAAUUCUUUCUAAAUUCAUUUGGACCAAUUUAAAAUCAUUUUCACCUCUUGCUCCCAAAAACAAAGUUGUUCCAAAACAAAAACUCUACAGCUUUUCCUUAACAAGCAAGACCAAAUUCCAAACAGAAUUUGAAUUACAAGUUAAAACUCAGUUCUAGGUUUUAAAUAAAUUCUUUUUGGAUAUUUUUGUAUAAAUUCCAUUUCUCAAAUUCCAUAGCUCCAAAAAUUGCACAAAAAUGUUCUUAAUUCUUCUUACACAUAAACCAACCUAGUUUGACUAUUUCACAAUUUUUAAAGCAAGCAUCACAUUUUAACAUGUUUAAAACUCAUGAAAUGAUGCACAUAAAAUCAUACUUGAAGAGAAUGACAUGCUCAUGAUGCUUAUGAUUGAUGAGGAUGCUUAUGCAUUGCUUUGCCAAGGCUAAGUGCAUGCUUAACACCUAGGGUGUUACAUAAACAAACGUCAUACUACCCAUUUCCCCUCUGACAAGUGUAGGGACCUACAAAUUAUCUGACUAUGGAAUGAUUCCCACAACGUUUUCUUUGAUCCUGUUUUUUAAUAUUGAGCCAUGUUUCUCUGUGAGCCAGUAGAAGAGCGCGCUCCUCUCUGCUCUUUACAUCUGCUAUAUAUAUAAACCUUUUUAGUCCAGAUCAUUGUCAUAUCUGCACUUAAACUUUAAUUUAUUUAUUUGUUUAUUUUGCAUUCAAAUGAUUGAUACCUAUCUCAGUCGGAUCCAUAAUUGGUAUAUAUAUGGUUUGGGUAAUAAACUUCAGAAUGAGUAGCGUUCUGUUCCUCAAGUAGUAAACUAGUAAUAAUGCUGAUGUCGAUGCUAGUGACUUGGUUAGUUGGUAUACCUGUUGUUACUAUUACUAGUUACUACUCCCUUAUCAGUCACUUAAAACUGUGCACAAACAAAGAAUGCUUAGUGAUGCUUGCGAUCAAUGAUUCAAUGAUGCUUAGUGGCUGAUUAGCAAGCUUGUAUUAUUGGCAGUUCACUGAAGAUCCUAUAGCAUCUCUCAGUAUACAAUACUCAGAACAAAACAAAUUGACAGCCUGUGUUCAAAGCCUUCAUUUUCACACUAAAACAAUGUAAGGAACUGAGAGCAUGUAAUCUUCUACAUUCACUAUAGUUUUCACUUUUCAGACCAACACAUAAGAUAAGCAGCUGAGCAUGUAGCAACAUGAAAGAAUUAUAACAUGAAGCAGAGUUUUAUUUAAAAAAAAGUAUGGUGUCAUUAUCACUUUGAUUAUUUAGUUCCUAAUGCCAUUCUUGUGAUAUCUUGUGCCAUGUUUUCUUUCAGUUCCUAAGUUCCUGUUGCCAUUAUGUUUUUCUUUCAGUUCCUAAGUUCCUGCAGUAACCUGAUUAAUUAUUUCACUGAAAUAUAAUUUUUAUAUUUUUGUUUGGGCACAUAGAAAUGGCGGACGACCCGUUCCAGAAUUGGAGGGAGCCUACACCUAGCUCAUCUUCAGCUAGCUAUGCAAGUGGUGCGUCUAUGACCCCACCACAAAAGAAACGUCGAACCGAGGAAGACGUAGAUCCGACGUACAACCCAGCGCAUGAUGAAGCCCACAGUGCACAGAUCCCAGUUGUGCCUCGGGCGUUAGACUUUGGGUCCGGAGAAGAGAACAGACAUGAAGAAGGCCCCGCUCCCUCCACGACAGCUCAGAAUCCAAGCAGAAGCGGAGGAGGGGGCAACACGGGAGGCACCAGAGGGAGUUGACUGACGUGGUGCACGUGAUCCUUGAGGUGGGGCCAGAGGGAAACCCAGUGAGUCCGCAAGAGGUACUUGGCCGGUUCAGCAACCAAGUGUCCUGCAUAGUCAGGGAUAAGGUGUUGAUCACUUGGCCGAGCUGGCACCAGGUCCCGAAAGACGUCAAGGGCAAUGUAUGGGGUGAGGUUACCCGGAAGUUCACUUAUCCCGAAGGCGCAGACAUGGAGAAGUGUUGUGAGUAGGCCAUGCACGUGGCGUCCUCUACCUUUCGCAACUUCAAGUCGAUGCUGGCACGGGACUUUCUAAAGAAGAAGAAGUCACCCUGCCAAAAAUACACUAUGGUGAAGGAGCAUGUGUGGGAAGAAUUCUGCCGAAUGAGGACGGCCGCUGAAGCAGAGGCAAAGAGCGCCAAGUUCAGUGCUCUCGCGAAACAAAACAAGCAUCGCCACCACUUGGGCAUGAUUGGCUAUGUCGGACAUAGGGCUCGAUGGCGGGCAGAAGAACAGGCUAGACAGGCUGCUGGGAUUCCUGAUCCGUACGAAGACGUCGAUGUUAGAGCUAAGGAGUUCAUGUAUGCCCGCGUUCCAAAGAAGCUAAAGCCAGGCGCGACCAGGUACAACAAGCCGCAAUAUGACGAGUUGGAGAAGGCUCUCGUCCAGGCCGCCAAAUCUAAGGACAACAUCGAGGUCCGUAGGGGCCAUGACUUGCUGACCGAGGUCCUCGAAACCUAGAGCAUCGCGGCCGUGUUCGUGGAGUCCAUUGCAAGAUGAGAUGGAAGUUGGUCGAGUCGUGGCAGGCCGAUGCAUCCGCAUACAAGUCGAGGCAGAAGUACAAGGACAUGUUGUAUCAGAAAGGCUUCGAAGAAGGUAUGGCUCAAACACUCAAUAAAAGAAGCCUUCACGAGCAAUGAGCCUGAAAUGGUGGCGAUGAGGUCACAGAUGUUUCGUGAGGCUGGCCUGGCCACCGCUCCACUUCAACAACCGCAAGGGCUGCCGAUGAUCGAGGGUCAACCAAGGCACUGGACCGAGGACGUCCAGAAAGACACACACGUCCAGCUCCUGAUCCCGUUCGGAAGAUCCAAGAAGAUGUAUAUAGCUGAGGGAAUGCUACAUCCCAAAAGCAUAGAGUUUAGCCCAGAUGAAAUCCCAGAAGGCUAUGUGGUCGUGACCCCACUCUGGAAUGUGCCAGAGCAAGAAGAGUAUGAAUUGGACCUUCCAAACAUCCAGCACGUCAAAUUUCUUGGGCAGGCCAUUGGUCAUGAAGUUCUAUGGAACAAGGAAGACAUUGAGAUCAUUCCACCGACACGAACUCCGACACCAACACCAGGAUCGCAGCCAUCAACUGUCGGAUCACAACGAUCAGUGGCUGGAUCUUGUCCCCCAGAUGAUCCUGAUGGCAGUGACGAUGAUGUUGAAGGAAAUGACAAGGACAAGGGCAAAGGACAAGGCGAUGGCGAUGGCCAUGGCUAGGACAAGGAGAAGGCACAAGACAAGGACGAUGGCGAAGAUAAGGAGAAGGCACAAGUAGAUGAGGGUGACAAAGACAUGGGUGCAACCUGUGCCCCUCCUCCAAAUAGUCUGCCUCGGAGCCCAAGCAGACAACAAGAAGGAGGCACAGAGGAGGCAACAAGGACUAAGACACCACCGCCAACAUCUACUCCUACGCUUGAAGCCCCUCCUCCACCGAGCAAGAAUGCAGGCAUGACCGCCACACUGCUCCCGUACACUACUACGUCUGUAAGGUAUGAGACAAACAAACAUAAUAUUCUCAUAACCUUUCUAACACAUAAAAUGGUAAUAACAUUUGUAAUUUUGUUUUGCCAGGCCUACAAAUACUCUGCAGAUCAAUCUAUUUCCCGAGGCGGAAGACUGUCCUGGCCACUAUGAGCUUGGAAAGUUCAUGCUACCUAAGGCCCAGCUCAUCGACGAUGAAAAGUGGGAUACAAGGAAGUUCCACCUGUGGUAUAUGGAAGCAGCAAAAGCCGGGAUGACAUGUUUCACUGUCAAGAUUCCCUCGGAGUUGUUCCACUUGCCCGGUGCCGAUAUUCAGCUGCCUGUGGACUUCCAGGACAUGUACAAUCUAUUGCGGGAAGAAGACCUUGACAUCGUCCAAAUCACCUUAUUCUCUCUGUAAGUGAUGAUUGCGACCUUUAUAGACCAAUCUCUACAUUUGUAUUGGAGAACUAUAUGAUUUUUAGGACACGAUGACUUGUCCGUGCAGGUUGACGGUCACUAUUAGCAACAAAAGGCAGCAUCCUAUCCUAUACCUCUCUCCAAUGCAUAUUGCUGAGAGAGUGAUCAAGGGUUUCCAGAUAACGGACCCAGAGUUGACCAUGCGACAGAGGGAAAAGAAGUACGAAGAAAACAUGAAAGAGGAGAAGAAGAAAUUGUCAAGGUACAUCUUUGAGGUAAUGAAGAAGCUCAACCCGGAUGGGCCGCAUUGUAUUAUGGCUGCCUACCACUUUGGGUAAGUCGAAAACAUCCAUGUAGAGCAAAAGUGGCUAGGGUCAUGCCUUCUCGUUGACAUAACCUAUACUUGUUUCAAUGGUGUAGAAAUGACCUAGCCGGCGGCCACUGGGUUGCCUUCCUCGUCUAUCCUCAAGAUGGUCGGGCUGUUAUAUUUGACUCGUUAGAGGUACCGAACAAAAAGGGGUACAAGGCCUUCGAAGACUGCUUGAAAAAGUAAGCCACCGAGCUUCUUGAUCCUUUACGGUUAUCGUAUUCAAAUUGACGCUAACACUAAUACACUUCGUACAGCGCUUAUAGUGCAUAUCUCAAGGAUCCGCAAUGCUGGGAUCGGAGAAUGGAGAAAUUCAAAAAGAGGCAUAAGCACCACCUCAAAAUCCAACGCGAUUUCCCCGUAAGUAUAUUUCAAAGGUAGUUCAAUUAUGCUUUUGGUAUAUAUGUGUUCUAAUGCUUUUGUAUCGAUCGUGCAGUGCGCCAAACAACCCUUGGGAUCAAAGGCAUGUGGCUUGUACACCUGCGAGAACCUAAGGGAAAGCAAGGAGUACACCAACAGCUGGAAGAAGCUCAAAGAAGCAGUGAAGAAUCGUGGAGAGACGAUGAAGAAUGAAUGCCAAGCUUUUAAGCAAAUCAAGGCGGACAUCUGUAAGUUCAUCCUAGAGAAAUGCGUGCUCAAGGGCGAACCAUUCUUCGACAAUGAAGGUGAAUUGGCGGUUUGACUAGAGUUCGAGAAGCUUAGGAGAUGGAACACCAUGCUACGGCCAACUGAUUACACCCACGCAGUAGAAUUGUGAUGUGUAGCGGAUUCGUGGGUUUCAUAUGUGUAUAUGUGGAUGAUGAGAACAACUAAGUGGAUUUAUAUAUUAUGUUGUGUCUUAUGUAUUGAACUUCCACGCAUAUGUGUGUGUCUAUAUAUAUAUAUCUUCUGUUUCUAAAAUGAAAUCUAGAUUCUAAAAUUUAUAAAUUGUUUAAAUUCAUAUGCAGCAAUGGUUCUGCAAGUUUUUUUUUAAUUUAAAAAUACUUAACCGUGGCGGACAACAUAAACAAACCGCUACGGUUAAUAGAAAUAUCCGUAGUGGGCAACAUAAAACGCCCGCUACGGUUAAUCUAUUAACCGUAGCGGGCUAUGUAAAGUGCCCGCUGCGGUAAAUGGGCAUUAACCGUAGCGGGCACUUUACGUUGCCCGCUGCGGUUAAUAGAUUAACCGCAGCGGUCACAGGCGCCCGCCACCGAAGUGACCAUGAUUUACCGUGGCCUUGUGGCCGUGGCGGACUUGUUUGCCCGCUACAGAAAAGGGAAAACGCCCGCCACGGUUAUUCUUUCUGCAGUAGUGUAUUAAUCUUACAAUAAUAGAGGUUCGUGUAUUACCUCACCUUGACGCCAGCAGCCCACAAACACAAUCACUGGUUAAGGGGCAUUUCGACCAUAAGAGGUUUGAGCAGAUCUCAAACGUUGAUGUCACAAGGUACUGCCAUGGCAAGCAGCCACACCAGAGCCGCCAUGCCGCCGUCCCGCCGCACGGUCGUGGAAGAACGUGGCCAACACAGCCUAACACCAACAUAACCUAAAUGUAAUAUUUUUAAUAAAUAAUUUGAAGAAAUAACCUUAGCCUAACGUCAACAUAGGAUUGGUAAUUACCUUGUCGUGCUGUCGUGUCGCUGGGUAGAACGUACCCGCCGUGCCGCUUUGUCGCUGGACAGAAUGUCGCCGCGUCAAGGAGCCGACCUGCUGUGCUGCCAAGCAGAACGUGUCCGCGAUGGGAGACUGCCAUGCCGUGACUUCGAGGAUGACGGUGAUGCUUAAAUUUAUUGCUAUGAGUUAUUGGCAAUUUUAUUCAUAUUUACAUUUUGUUAAAUAUGUAAAUUUAUUGACAAAAUAUGAUGAAAUAUUGGUAUUAUGACAGUUGAAAACAUAUAGAUUCACCUUGUGUCAUGGGUUUAAAAAUUACAGCACAAUGCAUCUGGUUCUUUAAACGUAAUACUUACAUACACAUAAAAUACUUUUCUUAUGUCAACUGUUCUGUUGUAUUACUCAUGUUCUCAAAUAGCGAACACAUAUAGAUGUUCUAUUCUUUAACUAUAGUUGUAUGUGAUUUUUUUCAGAAUGAAUUCUUGUACCCUUGCUAAUAUUAAUCUUACAAUAAUACAGGUUCAUGUAUUACCUCACCUUGACGCCAGCAGCCCACAAGUACAAUCACUGGUUAAGGGGCAUUUCGACCACAAGAGGUUGGAGCAGAUCUCAAAUGUUGAUAUAACAAGGUACUGUCGUGGCAAGCAGCUGCACCAGAGCCGUCGUGCCGCCGCACGGUCGUGGAAGAACGUGGCCAACACAGCCUAACACCAACACAGCCUAAAUGUAAUAUUUUUAAUAAAUAAUUUGAAGACAUAACCUUAGCCUAACGUCAACAUAGGAUUGGUAAUUACCUUGCUGUGUUGCCGUGUCGCUGGGUAGAACAUACCCGCCGUGCCGCCGUGUCGCUGGGCAGAACGUCGUCGCGUCAGGGAGCCGACCUGCCGUCCUGCCAAGCAGAAUGUGUCCGCGAUGGGAGACUCCAUGCCAGUGGUGGCGGAGGCCGCGACGAAGGAGGCGGCGGCCUUCCUGGCCUUGCUCUGCCGAGGUGUAAGGUGUGAUGGGGAAGCGCACCUAGAGCAAACACAGGAGCAAACGCAGGGAGAGGCGCGCGAUCUGCGAGGGACACAGGGGAGAUGGUCGUGGUGGAGAUGGGGAGAAGAACGAAGGGGCUGGGAGAGAGAGGGAGUCACACGGCGUGGGAGUCGCCUUGACGGGUAAGGGAGAGGGAGGGAGUUGCAUGGUAUGGAAGGGAUUCCUGGUUUGUUACUAUAUCUGUUGGGUGGUAAAAAAUCGAUAAUCUUUUGUGCGGGUCCAUAAUAAGUGGCGUUUUGAGGGAUACUUAUCCACGACCACCCACCUGGAGUGGAAUUUUUAAGGAUAUCGAUCGGGUGCGCACGAUAGUCACACGAGCGCGGAACGAAACUAUUGUUGCAUGACGGAGAAGUCUUACUUUUAGUCUUUUUAGUUGUAGGAUAUAUAUAUAUAUAUAUAUAUAUAUAUAUAUAUAUAUAUAUAUAUAUAUAUAUAUAUAUAUAUAUAUAUAUAUAUAUGUAUAUAUAUAUAUAUAUAUAUAUAUAUAUAUAUAUAUAUAUAUAGGUAUACUAUUGAGAGCAUAGGGCUUCCAAUAAUUAGUGGAAGCCCCAACCCAAACCUGUGUUUCCUGGUUCCACCAACCCACCAGCCCAUUGGCCCAUCCAUCGGCCCACCUUCCCAAGCCCUAUAUAUAUUCUUCAAAACCCUAAUCCCACUCUUCCCCUCACCUGGCCGCCACCCCCAACAGGCGCCGCCCCACUCCCUGGCCUCGACCCGCGGUGGCGCGACAUCACCACUUCCCCGGCGCGACAUCACCACUUCCGGCUCCUGUGAUGCCUACAUCCUCGAGCGCGCAGAGGCAGAGCCACAACGCGGCGACCUCGGCGAGGAGCGCCUCGCGCUUGGCGCGCCAGCGCGACUCCUUACGGAGCCAUCGCUGCUCCUCGCGGAGCCACCGCACCUCCUCGCGCUCCUCCCAGGACGACGAGGGUCCAGCAGCGGCGCGGGGCGGGAGGACAACCGCGGCGGUGCGUGGAGAGCAGCUGGGCCGGAGCUGCGGGCGGUGGAAGGCGGUGGAGACGAACGGGAAGGCCACCACGCGCGUCGUGCUCAGGUUGGCCCCGCGCUCGUGGAGCUUGGCGAGCCCGAAGUCGCCGAGCCGCGCCGACAUGUCGGCGUUGAGGAGCACGUUGCUGGCCUUAACGUCACGGUGGAGGACGACGCUCUCCCACCCUUCGUGCAAGUACAGCAGUGCCGACGCGACGUCGCGGAGGAUCCAGUGGCGGACAGGCCACGUCAGGCGCGACGCCUUGAGGUGGUCGCCGAAGAGGUGGCGGUCCAGGGUGCCGUUGGGCAUGUAGUCGUAGACGAGGAGGAGGCCGCAGCCAUGGCGCCGGCGUGGGUCAAAGGCCGCGCCUUUGGCUGGUGGCUUGGGCUGCGCUGCAGUUACUGCAGCUGACCAGAGGCGUGAGUGGAGGCAUGGGCGGGGGAGUUCUCUUCAUUGGACUGGAUGCCGUGCCGCAGGCUGAGGGGGGAAGAAAGGAAUAACGGCUUGUUCCUCCUGGUUGGUUUCCUGUUUUGUUUUAAGCCCUUUGUUUUAUAAUUAUAAUUGCAGAGAGACUUGUAGGAAAUGAAAUCUCAUGCUCGCUCACCGUUUGCAGGUUGCGAGGGGAGGGGAUGAUUGUAUCUCAGCGACCUUAUUCUACCUUGCUUGUGUUUCCAUACUUGUUGAACAGAGGGAAAUGAGAUUUAUUUUCUGUGAUUUAUUUUCCACUUCUGUGAUUUAUUUUUCACAUUUUUCUAUGUAUGUUUAUGAUUAUCCUUAGUCUUUCUAUGCUUAUACUCAAAACUUUCUCUGAUUUGUUACUACUAUUUUUAUACAUUGUUUGGAGCAUAUUUUAUACAUUUUGUUGUUGGUUGGGUGCUAAGAAUUUUUUGCAUGUAGAUCCGAAGGAAAGAUAAUAGUUUUUAUAUUUGCAUGUAUAGAUUUAGAUGCAUGGUGAAACUGUGAUUAUGUUUAGUUGGAUUUUGUUUCCACCCUAAUUGAUUUCAAAUUCUAAAUUUUGAAGAAGUCUGUAUACAUUGUGGAGCACUCUUCUAUGCACUGUUAGAACAAUUCAAUAUAUAUUGUUUGAAUAAUUAUCUCUAUGUACCUACGCAGCCUUAGAUUUUUGGUUUAGAUGCACUAUUAGAAUAAUUAUCUGCGCACAAUUCUUCUAUGCUUAGUUGUAUGGGUUUUAUCUGAUUUUUUGUUGCAGCCUUGGAUGAAUAGGUGGUUUGCAUGAAAUGAAAAGCUACAAACGCAAGUAAGCAGGAUUUCUAUUCUUUGAUUUUGAUUUUUAUGCAUUUUCCUUGAUAUUAUGUGCAAUGAAUAUGUUUUUGUGCAAUUGACUUUUGGAUCUUUAUGCUUCGUGGGUUAUACGCUCGAUGUUAAGAUUUUACACAUUCAGAACCAUUCUGGUGGCAAGUCCACUGCAUGAUGUAGUCCACGACCGCGGUGCUAAUAUGGAGCAGCGGUGGCGGUUGGUGGCGUGUAGUUCAUGGCGUCGGCGCUAGUGCGAAUCAGUGGUGGUGGUCGGUUCGAUAGAAGAUAGCAAAGGAGCGGCACGACGCGGCCAAGGAUUUUUGCAUUUUGUUUGUUGAAUUUAGUGUUCUUAUGCUUGUGUGCAUAAGUUUCUAUACACACAAUGGAGCACUUCUAUGCAUUUUUGUAUUCUUAAUGCUUGUGAGCAUAAAUUUCUAUACAUUAUUGGAGCAGGUCUAUGUUGUUUUUAUGUGACAAUAAAUUCACUUUUUAUUCAUCAAAUUACUAAAUUCUAUGUAAUGCCGGUACGAAAAAGAUUUAAGUGUAUCUUGAUCAUUGAAUUUAUGAAUCUGGUCGUCUAUCACGUGUUAUUUUUUCAAAAUUUUAAAUUUUUGAGAAGAAGAGAUCGUCUUUUAUGUUUUACAUGUGCGGUUCUCAUGUUCUAUGUGUUUCUAUACAUCGUUUCCUAUAUUACUUAUGCAUCCUCUCUAGAAUGCAAGGUGUGGUUGGACGCGGUCACGAUUUUUCAAAUUAAUAAUAUGCAGAAGGGAGGGUUUUUACGCGACAAUAAAAUUAUUCUUAUUCACCAAACCACUAAUUUAUAUGCAACGUUAGCGCAAAAAACUUUUCUACGCAUUUUGACUAUUUGAUUCUAUGCAUCUAAUCGUCAUCACGUGCCAUGAUUCAAAUCCCGGUUGUGUCAGAUGAAAUGUCCAUCUCGCGGCUUUAGAUGGUAACAAAAUUAAUUUUUAUUCAUCCAACCACUAACUUCUAUAUAACGUCAGCAUCAAAAACUUUCUGUGCAUCUUGGCUAUUGAUUUUAUGCAUCCAAACGGCCAUCACAUACCAUGAUUCAAAAGUCAAAGUUUAGAGGAAGACGAGAUCAUCUCCAUAUUUUUACACGUCCAGUCUCUAUGUUUUAUGAAUUGUUCCUAUGUUAGUUAUACACCCUAUAGUGAGGAGCAUAAUAUUGUUGGAGGCAAUUACGGUUGUUUCGUGGAAUAUCUAUCUCGCAGAGAAGUUUUUAUGCGAUAACAAAAUUAAUUUUUAUUCACCCAACAACUAAUUUCUAUGCAACAUCGACGUAAAAACGUUUUUACGCAUCUUGAUACUGGUAUAUUGGGAGCCCUGGGCUACAAAUACUUAUUGGAAGCCCCAACCAACACCCCCACCUAGCCCCUGCCUGCGCACAAGUGGGGGACCCCAGACAUUCAACCAAUGCCACUCAGUCCACCAUUCAGGUCAACUGAGCUGACACGCACAGCAGAUGGGGACUGUAGUGGACCCUGUCAAUCGGAUGCAUAAAAAUAUAGGUAAAGCUGCAUAGAAAAGUUUUGGUCGCAAUGUUGCAUAGAAAUUAGUUGAUGGAUGAAUUAAAACUAAUUCGUUAUUGCGUAAAAACCUUUCUGCGAGUUAGACGUUCCACCUGUUCCACCUAACUACACCUGACAGAGGCUGACACGCGCUGACACAUGCUGAUACAUGUAUGCGUCUUCCAUUGUAUUCUCUUCUAUUUUUCCACGAUAAUUCCUCGAUGGAGCUUUCAAUUUUAAAAUGGUUUUGAUCAUUGAACUCCUGACAUUUUUAUGCACGAUUCAAGAUCCACUUUGAAUAUUUUUGAAACAAAAUUAAAAUUUAAAAUUUGAAUCAUGGCACGUGAUAACGAUUAGAUGCAUAGAAUCAAUAGUCAAAAUACGUAAAAAAGUUUUUGGCGCCAUUGUUGCAUAGAAAUUAGUGGUUUGAUGAAUAAGAAUAAUUUCAUUGUCGCGUAAAAACCCUCCCUUCUGCAUAUUAUUGAUUUGAACAAUCGUGACCGCGUCCAACCACAUAUUGCUUUCUAGAGGGGAUGCAUAAGUAAUAUAGGAAACAAUGUAUAGAAACACAUAAAACCCUUCCCACUAUUGAAGAGGAUCGUAACCACAACCAUAGCCGCUCAUACCCACACCAUACUUUCCACCAGGGGAUAUUUAUUUAACAGAGGAACAACGCAUAGAAACCGAGUCAACAACAUAUUAAAAACCAACCGAGGUUACAUAGAAACAAAGUUUUGCUCAUCUCAUCCAAGCAUAUAAAUACAUCAUGGAAAACUAACUUUUUACAUUAACCAAUCAACUAUAUUAAGAUCACACGACGCCACCGCCACGAGUCGUGGACAUCACAAGCCAUGUCAUAUGUCUGAGGCACCAUUGACCUCUCACACCAAAUGGAAAGAAAUCCUUCCAACCAUGCUACAUCACAACAAAGCCACCAUUGACCUCCCACCAAAUAGAGGAAUCUAUUUUAACCAUCCUACAUCACAACAAAGGCAAUAGAAACAUGUUUUAGUAGGAGAAGAAACCUUACAAAAGUAAGGCAUAGAAACAUGUUUCUUACAAUAUGCAUAGAAAAGUUUUGCCGGCAUUGCAUAGAAAUUAGUGGCUCAAUAAAUAAAAGUUAAUUUUGUGAUCGCAUAAAACCUCUCCACAAGAUGGGCAUCCUCCGUAGACAACUGUAAUUACCUCCACUGAUAUCACUAGGGGUGUAUAAUUAACAUGGGAACAAUACAUAGAACAUGGAGAUCACACACGUAAAAGAUGAAUACGGUCUCAUUUUCUCUAAUUUUUUAAAAAUAGCAUGUAAUGGGCGAUCAGAUUCAUAGAAUCAGUAAGCUGCGCAGAAAUAUUUUUGGCACAUGUAUAGAAAUUAGUAGUUAAAUGCAUAAAGAUUAAAUUUGUUACCACAUAAAAACCACAUAGCAACUGCUCCAACAAUGUAUCGAAUUAUGUGUCAAUAAUGUAUAGAAAUAUAUACCGACAGUGUAUACCAAGUAUCAGCUAGAAAUGUAUCCAAAAUUCAAAAGUGCAUGAAAAUGCAUGAAUUGCAUAAAAUCACUGGUUGCCUGCAUAUAGAAAGCACAAUGGACAAAAUCACUGGUUGCAUGAUUCAAAUUUUGGAACAUUGCAUAGAGACUAAAAUCGAAUCAAAACAUAUAAAUCCAUGGCAUAGAAACUAUGGCUCAAGACCUGUGGAAGACAUCCUUGACCGCGUCACGCCAUUGCUGUUGUCCACACCACCAUCCACCACCACCCAUUCGCACCACACUCAUACAUGCAGUUUCACAAAUAACGGGUAAUUCGUUUAGACAGCAAGACAGGCAUAGGAACAUGUUUUAGCAGGAGAAGGCAUAUGAACUUGAGCAAGAUAGACAUAGAAACAUGAUUUAGUAGGCGCAUAAACCUUAUAUCAGCAAAAGAAAGACAUAUAUCAAGGAGAUGCAUAAAAACUCAAAAUCAACCACGUAGAAAUCUUGCUUGCCUACUUUGGUAGCUCUUCAUUUCAUGCAGACCUUUUGUCAUAUAAGCAUGGAUACCACUCUCACAAAUCAUAAAAAUAUGACAUGAAAAUACUAAAAACCAUAUUUCUAGGCAUCUAUCGAACAAUAGGCUAGCAGCAUCUCCAAUUCCGCACUUCAAAGGGAGCUCACGAGCAGGCCUAGCAUGCUCCCCCUAAAUCGCCGAGUGGAUGCAUAGAAACCAUUCUCGUUCAAGCAAAAACCAAAUCCUGCUUGCUUAUACGGUUGACUUUAAGCAUAGAAAUAAAAAUCAAUUGCAAAGUCGAGGAUUCCAAACAUACUAGUGUCACUUCUGGCCGCCGUGCUGGAUGUGUCCUCAUCUAGAAGCUCAUCAACACCAUGGCAGUAGUCCUGUUCUCCAGUAGGCUGGUUGUCUUCCGAUUUGCUGGCAAAAAAACACGCCAAAUCAAAACUAAAAAUUAUGCAUGCAAACAUAGUAACCAAAGGAAAGCAAGAAAAAUAUUUUUUUUGAACAAAACUGGCAUAGAAACAUUUUUUAUACCAUAUAGAAAUAUGUUUUAGCAUGUAUAGAAACCUUACAGUGGCACGAAAGGCGUAUAGAACAGCAUAGAAACUUGUUUUUAGCAAUUUGGAUAUGCUUUACGAUAACCCAACUCACUCCCAUUCAACAUGGGUAGUACUCCAAAUGGGUUGGAAAACAAAUAAAAAGUGCAUGUACAGUGAAACAAUUUGGAUAAAUUGGAGAACUUUCCAACAGCAGUCAUAUUAAUCAAUAAAAAGUAACUAGCAGAAAAGUUAUAGAAAUUUUGUGACUAUAAUUACGAGAAAAAAAAACAACACAAAAAGUAAUGAACUCGAAUCCAUGCUCCAAAUAAUAUAUAAAAUAUGCUCCAACAAUAUAUAUACAAUUCCAAAUGAUUUCUUGAUUAUAUGGUUGGCUCAAGAAGCAUAGAAAUAAAAAAUCAAAGUACAUAAAAACAAUAUACAAAAACCAUUAUUUUAUUUAGUCAUCUCGCCAAUCAAUUGCUAUGCAUAGAAAAUUAUGUAUAGAAUCAUGAACUUUGCAUAAAAAAGUACUCCAACUAUAUAUAUAACCGUAUAGAAGUGCACAAUUAAUUGCUCCAACAGUGUAGAGUAAUUUGUUGUAACAAUAUAUGUAAUACAUAUCAAGCUAUAGUUUAGCCAUGCAUAGAAACUUAUGCACACAUGCAUAAUAACUAAAAAAUCUACAAACAAAACAAUGAAGAUGAAUUAUGCACAAACCACAAACAUGGAUCUUUGUAUCUACUGCUAGGAUUAAAAUACAGGAGGAUCAUAUUGGACAUCUGAGCAAUGCAUCUAUGCAUACAAAUCACCCAGCAACUUUGAAAACCACAGUUCCACCAUGCAUAGAAACUAGUAUGUUAGUAUACAAUUCACCCAACUGUU